rnacentral:lncRNA from 1 species
CUGUGGCACCUAUACCAAUUGAAGUGGAAGCUUAUGAUAGUGAUCAUGAAACUUCGGAUCAAGUCACUACCAAACCUCAUAGGACGACAAGGAUGCGUCCUACUUCAGAGUGGUACGUAAUCCUGUCUUGGAAGUCAUGUUGUUGGACAACGAUGAACCUAUGAGCUAUGGAGAAGCGAUGAUGGGCCCGGAUUCCGACGAAUGGCUCGAGGCCAUAAAAUCCGAGAGAGGAUCCAUGUAUAAAAACAAAGUGUAGACUUUGGAAGAACUACUUGAUGGUCGUAAGGCUGUUGGGUGCAGAUGGAUUUUAAAAGGAAGACAGACAAUGAUGGUAAGUGUCACCAUUAAGAAAGCUCGACUUGUCGUUAAGAUGUUUUCCGGCAAGUUCAAGGAGUUGACUGCGAUGAGACUUUCUCACUCGUAGCGAUGCUAAGAGUCUGUUGGAAUUAUAUUAGCAGUUACUGCAUUAUUUAUUCUUGCAGAUAGGAUGUCAAAAACAUUGUUUCCUCGACGAUUUUCUUGAGGAAAGGUUGUAUGUGAUACAACCAGAAGGUUUUGUCAAUCCUGAAAGAUGCUAACAAGUAUGCAAAGCUCCAGCAAUCCUUCUAAGGAUUGGAGUAAGCAUCUCAGAGUUGGAAUGUACGCUUUGAUGAGAUGAUCAAAGAUUUUGGGUUUAUACAAAGUUUAUGAGAAACUUGUAUUUCCAAAGAAGUGAGUGGGAGCACUAUAGAAUUUCUGAUGAGUAUAUGUUGUUGACAUAUUGUUGAUCAGAAAUGAUGUAGAAUUUCUGGAAAACAUACAGGGUUAUUUGAAAAGUGUUUUUCAAUGCAAAACCCGGAUUAAGCUACUUGAACAUUGAGCAUCAAGAUCUAUAAGGAUAGAUCGAAAACGCUUAAUAGUACUUUCAAAUGAAUGCAUACCGUGACAGGAUUUUGAAGGAGUUCAAAAUAGAUCAGCAAAGAAGGAGUUCUUGGCUGUGUUACAAGGUGUGAGUAUUGAGUAAGACUCAAGACCUGACCACGGCAGAAGAGAGAGAAAGGACGAAGGUCGUCCCCUAUGCUUUAGACGUAGGCUCUACAGUAUGCUAUGCUGUGUACCGCACCUGAAGUGUACCUUGCCAUGAGCCAGUCAAGGGGUACAAGAGUGAUCCAGGAGUGGAUCACAUGACAGCGGUCGAACUUAUCCUUAGUAACUAGUGGACUAAGGAAUUUUCUCGAUUAUGGAGGUGGUAAAAGAGUUCGUCGUAAAGGGUUACGACGAUGCAAACUUUGACACUAAUCCAGAUGACUCUGAGUAGUAAACCGGAUUCGUAUAGUAGAGCAGUUAUUUGGAACAGCUCCAAGUAGCGCGUGGUAGCUGCAUCUACAAGAUGACAUAGAGAUUUGUAAAGCACACACGGAUCUGAAUGUUGCAGACUCGUUGACUAAAACCUCUCUCGUAAGCAUAACAUGAUCAAACCCUAGAACUCAUUGAGUGUUAAUCACAUGGUGAUGUGAACUAGAUUAUUGACUCUAGUAAACUCUUGGGUAUUAGUCACAUGGCGAUGUGAACUUUGAGUGUUAAUCACAUGGUGAUGUGAACUAGAUUAUUGACUUUAGUGCAAGUGGGAGACUGUUGGAAAUAUGCCCUAGAGGCAAUAAUAAAAUGGUUAUUAUUGUAUUUCCUUGUUCAUGAUAAUUGUCUAUUGUUCAUGCUAUAAUUGUAUUAACUCGAAACCGUAAUACAUGUGUGAAUACAUAAACCACAACAUGUCCCUAGUAAGCCUCUAGUUGACUAGCUCGUUGAUCAAUAGAUGGUUAUGGUUUCCUGACCAUGGACAUUGGAUGUCAUUGAUAACGGGAUCACAUCAUUAGGAGAAUGAUGUGAUGGACAAGACCCAAUCCUAAGCAUAGCACAAGAUCGUGUAGUUCGUUUGCUAAGAGCUUUUCUAAUGUCAAGUAUCGUUUCCUUAGACCAUGAGAUUGUGCAACUCCCGGAUACCGUAGGAAUGCUUUGGGUGUACCAAACGUCACAACGUAACUGGGUGGCUAUAAAGGUGCACUACAGGUAUCUCCGAAAGUGUCUGUUGGGUUGGCACGAAUCGAGACUGGGAUUUGUCACUCCGUAUGACGGAGAGGUAUCUCUGGGCCCACUCGGUAAUGCAUCAUCAUAAUGAGCUCAAUGUGACUAAGGAGUUAGCCACGAGAUCAUGCGUUACGGAACAAGUAAAGUGACUUGCCGGUAACGAGAUUGAACGAGGUAUUGGGAUACCGACGAUUGAAUCUCGGGCAAGUAACAUACCGAUUGACAAAGGGAAUUGAAUACGGGAUUGAUUGAAUCCCGGACAUCGUGGUUCAUUCGAUGAGAUCAUCAUGGAACAUGUGGGAGCCAAUAUGGGUAUCCAGAUCCCGCUAUUGGUUAUUUGCCGGAGAGGUGUCUCGGUCAUGUCUGCAUGGUUCCCGAACCCGUAGGGUCUACACACUUAAGGUUCGGUGACGCUAGAGUUGUUAUGGGAAAUAGUAUGUGGUUACCGAAGGUUGUUCGGAGUCCCGGAUGAGAUCCCGGACAUCACGAGGAGUUCCGGAAUGGUCCGGCGGUGAAGAUCGAUAUAUUGGACGAAGGGUAUUGGAGUCCGGAAGUGUUCCGGGGGUACCCGGCUAUGGCCAGCAUGAGCGAAAGGUGUUUCGGGAGCCCCGGCAAGUGUUGGAGGGCCUCAUGGGCCAAAGGGGAAGGGGCAAACCAGCCCACUAAGGGGUGGUGCGCCCCCACACCCUUUCCCACGUUACUUGGGGAGGUGGGGCGCCUCCACCUGGCUUGGGAGGCAAGCCUCCACCUGCUUGGCUUGGGGGGGGGGGGAAGUCUCCCUAGGAUUUUCCCUAGGGAGAUCCAAUCUGCUUGGCUGCCGCCCCCUAGGGGAAACCCUAGGGCGCCUCCCCCUCUCCCCUUUCCCCUAUAUAUAGUGGAGGGGUGGGAGGGCAGUCGCACCUCUUCCCUGGCGCAGCCCUCCCUCCUCAUACACCUCCUCCUCCUCCUCCGUAGUGCUUAGCGAAGCUCUGCCGGAGAACCACGAGCUCCAUUGCCACCACGCCGUCGUGCUGCUGGAGUUCUCCCUCAACUUCUCCUCUCCCCUUGCUGGAUCAAGAAGGAGGAGACGUCCCCGGGUUGUACGUGUGUUGAACGCGGAGGCGCCGUCCGUUCGGCGCUAGAUCGGAUCUUCCACGAUUUGAAUCGCUGCGAGUACGACUCCAUCAACCGCGUUCUUGUAAUGCUUCCGCUUAGCGAUCUUCAAGGGUAUGAAGAUGCACUCCCUCUCUCUCGUUGCUAGCAUCUCCUAGAUUGGUCUUGGUGACACGUAGGAAAAUUUUGAAUUAUUGCUACGUUCCCCAACACGUUGGAGAUGCCCUAACGCCAAGAAAUGUCUUGACCAAUGUGCCGGACCAUUUUUUUACAAUGUCGCAUACAUUCACAAACGACUCCGAGCAACUGGAUGCAAAGCUGGGGACGUUCACGGGAGUCUAGACCUCCAUCGUGUAGGCCUCUGACACCCUCGACCCACUCAAAACUCCAACCAAAGCAUGUGUCUUUCUCACUUUGCCCCAUGCUUUUGUAUCCGCUCAUGCCGAGGCCGACACCGCCGCUCUACCACCCUGACCACUCGCCCAGACCUUGCCAGACCUCCGCCGCUGCACCCGGGAACCAUGUGCUCUUUGCCUACACGAUCCCCCCUGCAGCUGUUGUCCAUAUCGCACACCAUGGGCCACAAGUGUCCAUCCAAAUGUCACAGUGUUGACAUUUAUUAUUUUCUUUGAUACUUCGAAGCGAACACAAUGGAUUCUGACGACAAGUACUUCUACAUCAACUUGAGGGAGUCUUCCUCGCCCGAUGAAAAUGAUGAAUAUGAGGAUGAAAUGGUGAUGAUGCAUGAGGUCCUAGCAAACACAGAGCAUGCAGAUGAUCAAUGUUGAAUUUCAAGGGAUCAAUCAAGGGACAUCCAAUGUUGAAUCGGAAGAGUUCGGGAGGGCAUUUGACACUGAUGGACGUUUAUUUUGCCCUGGAUGCUCUAUUCACGAACAAUGUUUGCAUGCGCUUUCGGAGGCGGAUAAAUGUUUUCGUCGCCUCUACAAUGGUGUCCGGGACUAUGAUGACUACUUCAUCGUGAAGAAGAAUGUCGUUGCAAAAAUUGGAUCCCAUGGUUACCAGAAGUGCAUGCUGCAUUGAGGAUGCUCACCUAUGGCACCGUCGCAGAUUCAUGGGACAAGUGCCUCUAAAAGUGUGAAAGCACAUGCAGAGUUGUCAUGGUGAGGUUUGCUACUGCGGUGGUCAAGGUGUUUGCACCAUGGUACUUAAGAGAACCAACUGUUACAGACAUCAAAAGGCUAUUGGCACUCUCAGAAGAAAGAGGGUGUCUAGGUAUGCUCGGAUCCCUUGAUUGCAUGCACCGCAGAUGGAAGAACUGCCCAUAUGCUCUAAAAGAGCAAAUAUCAGGGUCAUGUUAAGAAGCCCACCAUCAUUUUUGAAGCAGUUGCAUCACAGGACCUCUGGAUUUGGCACGCUUUUUUGGCAUGCCUGGGUCUCACAAUGACAUCAACGUGUUGCAACGGUCUCCAUUGUUUGCUAGGUUGACUGAAGGACAAGCUCCACCGUACAACUAUACCAUCAAUGGUCAUGACUACAGUAUGGGCUACUAUCUGGUUGAUGAUAUCUAUCCUCCGUGGGUGAUCUUCGUCAAGACCAUAUCUGAGCCAGUUGGUCAAAAAAGAGCUCACUUUUCCCAAAGAAAGAAUGAGGUAGAAAGGAUAUGGAGAGGGCAUUUGGAAUGCCCCAAGCUUGAUUUGCAUUUGUUCGAGGACCUGGGGAUCUAGAGACCUUGUGAAAGAUGAUGACAACAUGUGUGAUCAUGCAAAACAUGAUUGUGGAGGAUGAAGAUGAAGGAGCUCGAAGGAAUUUUGACGAAAAAGAUUAUGAAUUGUGAUGCAUUUGAGCUUGAGCUAUGCAUCUUGCGUUUGAUUCUUCAGAAAGAUUAUGAGCUAUACCACCAAUGGUAGAAGACUGUUCGAAACUUAGAUGAUUAUAUUCAUCAACCAACAUCACGAUGGUGUUUAUCAUGUUUUCAUCGGAUGCACAAAGAAGCAGUUCAUGUGGUCUAUCUGUAAUAGUUUUGGAGUUAAAUGCUCGCGAAAUAUAUAAGGCCCAAUGAUUCAUUAACCGGCCAAAACAUGACUUGAGUAUCGUUCUUGCCAACUAGAAUUUUAGAUGUGAUGAGAUAUAAUUAAAUAAAGAGAGGGUUGUGGUUGGGUAUCAUGAUAUGAUACAGUAUCCUAUUACACAAUGUGCUACUAUGUGUGAAUGUGAUGCAAAACAACAAAUUGGGUUAUCUAAGAUAUCAACUUAUGAUACUAUGUACUAUAAUGAUAGUAUCAUACAUUAUUAUGAUAUACAUGAUACUAGUUUAUAAUUCUUGCCACUACGACCAAGCUAAUUCAAAAAGAUCUCAUGUAGGGGUGGUGGACAUGGCAUGGGCAACAAGAUUGAUGAAUAGUUCGUGUUCACUUUGAUGUUUUGGAUUGAUCAACUAUGUAAUAAUUUGGUGUUAUUGAUUGAUGAAUUUUUUGUUAUGUUUUUACUAUUUAUUUGAUUAAAUUUAGAUGAUUUUUAUGUUGAUUUGUUGCAAUAUGUAUGCAAAUCAUGAAGAACAAACAUAUCGUGCGACUGCUGUACUGUAGGGCGACGCUUAGAAGUCCACUUUUUUGAAGCAAUAAAACGCUUUUGAUUGCCCUAAAAUUUAUUUCAAACACUUUUCUAUGCUUUAGAAUAGGUGUACUAGUAGAGAUGCUCUAAGCAGGCUUGGUUGACAGGCGAGGCGGCCAUCACGAUGGCUGCGGCACCAGAGCUAUGUCUCGCCCGUACCAAUUUCAAUUAGGAAUUGCCUACGGGCGAGUGAAUCUGCUGGUCCAUUAGCAUAGUCGCUUGUUGCCGUCAUGUGUCGCUGCAGUUCACUUUCUCUGCUUCGUUUCUUUGUUUUUAGUUUUCUUUUAAUUUUUAACUGUUUCCUUUGGAUUUCCCCCUUCGUCAACAUUGUUUUUUCAUGAUUUUCUUUGGUUUUCUCUUUCUUUGCUAUACCUUUUGUUUUUUAUUUCUUCGUAUUCUUUUUUGUCAAUUUUAAUUGAUUUUUAACACAUUUCUACUUUUUUUGUACACAACCUAUAUUUUUAGUUCACACGUAAAAAAAUUGAACAGUUUUCAAACACAUGAUGUACAAUUUUUUUAACAUGCAUAUUUUGAACAGUUUCCUGAAUACACAGUAAUAUUUUCUGAAUACAUGUUGUAUAUUUUUCUAAUGGCAAUAAACAUUUGUUAAAGUACAUGAACAUUUAUUUACAUUGUAUAAAUAUUUUAAAAUUUUCACGGACAUUUUAUAGACACACUUGAAUAUUUUUUUAAAUGUCACAUACAUUUUUUAAUGGUAAUAACUAUUAUUUUAGCCUAAAGGAAUAUCUUUUUACAUUUUGUCAUUGUCUUUUUUAAUGUCAAGGAAAGUGUUUCAAAUCGUUGGAUUUUUCUCUUUAAUAUGUCACAUACAUUUUUUAACAGCACGAAACAUUUUUUUACAAUACAUAUUUUUUUACAUUGUAUACAUUUUUCCAAAAAAAUAUAAACAUAUUUUUUAACCUUGUGGACAUUUUCUAAAAUGUAUCAUGCAUUUUUUUAAUCUAACAAACAGUUUUAAAUUACAGGAGUAUUGUUCUAUAUGUUAGGACCAUAUUUUUUCAUAUAUGACAUACAUUUCUUAAAUACUUGCCAUAUUCUUAAAUCUCACCAACAAUUUUUUGAACACAUGAUUAACAUUUUCCUAUAUAAGUUUAGUGCAUGAUUCACAUUUUUCGUAAAAUUAUCAAAAGUAUAUUUUAUUUUAUAUUUAUAAUAUUUCAAAAUAUGAACAAUAAUAAGAAAAAUAUAUAAAAAAAUGGAAAUGUGAAAAAAACAAGAAAAGGCUGGCGUCAGUAUGAUGCGCCCGUGUGGUUAUUGGGCUGGCCAAGCAAUGGCUACGUGCAGUCAUUGCAGGAGCGUCGUCAACGAUAUCGUGUUGCGGAUGCGUGGACUAAAGAAAGUCAACGAGUUGCUCAAGCAAGGUGACAAAGAAGGUGAUAGCCAUAGAUGCAUUGACUAUAGAGAAGGCCGAUAAGUUGCUCAAGCGAGGUGACAAAGAAGGUGAUAGCCAUAGAUGCGUUGACUAUAGAGAAGGCCGACGAGCGAGGUGACAAAGAAGGUGAUAGCUAUAGAUGCGUUGACUAUAGAGAAGGGCGACGAGUUGCUCAAGGUAAAAGUCUGGAUGCGUUGGUUGUAGAAGCAGUUGAUGAGUUGCUCAAACAAGGUGAUAGUCUUUUGCAUUCAUGUCGAGAUAAUCGAAAGCACCGGCAAUGGAGCCAUGGUCGAGGUGGUGCUUAAAAAAAUAAAUCAGGUUUUUCUGAAGCACCAGUGCCUAUUUCUACAGAAGAGAUGCUUAAGCGUCUGUACAAAUAAACACCCGUGCUUACGAAAAAUCUGAUUUAUUUCUUCAAGCAAAAUUCCAACAACUUCUCUGUACAGCCGAAUGCUACACAAGUCAGUGACUGUCAGUCAGUUGGGUGCACACCCAACGAAGAACCUGACUGACUGACUGGUAGCUGACUAUAUAUAUAUAUAUCUGCACGUGCCUAAAUCUCUUUCCACAGAGCCACAAAAUACAAUCGAAAUACAGUACAAUGCAGAUGCCGAACCAACACACAGACAGCGUUCACGCACGCAGUCAGUACUCAGUAACCGCUGUCGACGUGGAACGCGUACGGCGGGUGUCCGCCGCCGCCGCCGUCCGCCUGCGCGUCGCCUCCGGCGCAGUACAAGUCCACGCCGGGCUCCAGCACAUAGGCCUCCUCCAGGUUCAGGUUGCUGUGAUUGUGGUACGACAGCCCGACCACCCCCACCCCCGCGCCGUCGACGGACAUCCUCUGCUCUUGUCUGCCGUCCAGAAGCAGCCGCGGCCUCUUGUCCCCCGCGCCCGCACCCUCGCCCGCAAGGCGGCGCAGCACGUCGGGGUCGCCGACGACCUUGAGCAGGAAGGCGAGCAUCUGCUUGGGCCGGCGCUCCGUCUCCUGCACCCGGCGCCACAUGGCCGCCACGCGCUCCUCCGCGGCCCUCUGCUCAUUCCUCAGCCGCACCACCUCCAUGGCCAGCGCCGUCGCGCUGCUGCUGCCGUCGUCGUCCUCCUCCUCCUUGCUAUCCUUGCCGCGCUUGCUGCUCUGGCGCCGGACGAUGCGGCGCAGGAGGUGGGUCUGGCCGCGGAGGAAGGAGGCGUGCGCGAACUCCCACCGGUCCGGGUCCACCUUGCGGAAGCCGUAGGUGUUGAGCUGCCGGACGAAGCUGGAGAAGUUGGCGUGCUUGAAGUGCGCGGGCAGCAGCAUCUCCGAGAAGGCGAAGGGGUCGGCGACGACGAAGCUGUUGCCGGCGGGCCCCCACGCGACGACGCCGUCGGUGGCCCGGUCGUCCAUCAUCCCGUAAGUCUUGGCCACGAACGGCGCCACCCCCGCCGCACCACAACUCCCCGAGGAGGAGGACGACUCCACGCCGCUGACGCCGCCGCUCAUCAUCACGAGACGGCAAGAAGAUGCGUUGCUUGCUGCUUGCUGCUUGUUGGGGAACGAGCGGGGAGUGGAUUGGGACGGACUGGGAGGAGCUGUGUCGUGUCGAGCCCAGCUGCCGAGGUGUAUAUACGCAGCGCAGGGGAUGCCGACAGGUGAGGGGCAACAGGUGGAGGGACGCGUGGCUGCGCACGCGGCGGCUCCUCGCAGGCGGCGGGAUUUCCCGGCCGCUGAGUCGACAUGGGAGCGGGGGGAAGGUGGCACUCCUCCUUGCGCCCAGACAAGCAAAGUGGCGAUGCUUAAGUUGAAAUCUGCUUUCCAUUUGUUUACUCAUCUCGACUCCUGUUCUCUACCCUCUUUUAUUUUGUUUUGUUAUAUACUAUUAGCAGAUACAGAAGCGGGUUAACGAGCGGGCAGGGGUGCAAAGUUCGGCGGGACCCAACUGGGUAUUUUAGAAGCUACUGUGUCACAUCAAUCAGUCAUGCAGCACUUGUGUCACACGCCGACCACUCCUUAAAUAGCAUUUUCAACAUGUUGUUGAAUGUUUUUUAAUCGUAGUUGGAUUGUUAGAACGACAACUGUAUCCCAUCCCAACGGGGUAUCACUUCUAAACUUAACCUUGGUGCUGGUAUUGUUUUGGAUUUUAUUCAAGCUUUUCGGCGAUGUGCAUUCAAUAGGAGAAGACUUUCAGUUGACUACAAAGGUGUUCGUGGGCACUUCAUCAAUCUCAAGAUGAUGUGUCGGCUCAGUCUCUCGGAGAUGCUUAUGAGGUAGUGUGUCUGUGCGAACGUUCAUACCAUUAGUGUAUGUGCGUAUCUAUGAGUGCAUGUGUCUAUUGUGUUAAAAAAAGUUUCCGAACACAUCUGGACCAUCCAACCAAGCCCCCCAAAAUUUGGACAGUGGCUAUGACGGACGGGCCAGGUUGACGGGGAGGAGAAAAAAAUGAAUCGAAGACUGGGCUGUGGGAACUGACAGUGUGCCUGUGCAGAUGGCCGGACUCCUCCAAAUCUCCCUCAGUUUGUUGACAGUUUCGAUUUUGGACUCAUCCAGGUCAUUUCGCGGACAUGUGACGACUUGUGUUAAAGGCCUAAAAGUGCCUCUGGACCUUCCGAUCCAAAUAUUUGCAGGCUUCUCCGCUGAUUGCCGUUGGAGAUGCCUUUAUCCAUCCAUACUUUUUCACAUGAUUUCAAUACUUCAUUCUAUUCUAUCUUUUGAAUGGAAAGUCUAAUUUACGACAUGUUUACAUCUUUGAGUUCCUUACAAUUAGGAUUUUCAAACAAGACCAUUUCUAAGGAUUUAAAAACAAAUUGUAUUUAAAAACAUAGAGAAACUCUAUGAAACAUAGUGAUGCAAUCUAGUACACAAAAAACUAAUAAAUUGAUGAAUGAUGAGAACGAUUAUUUAUUAAAAAAAUCAAUAUUAAGUUUGAAGUGUAUUAACACAGAAUGAAACAUUAUGAUAUGAUUUCAAACAGAUGAACCAAAGUGAAACACUAUGAUUUUUAUUGUCAAAUAUAAUGAAACAUUUUAAUUUUUUUAGAAACUUCGUAUUUCAUCGUAAUUGAUUUCUAGUUUCUUCUUGAUUCGCAAAGUUCUAUCAUGAGUUGUUGUUUUCACUACACUUCAAACAUGUUUAAUAAACAAAAUAUAUAUUCAUUUUUUAAAUGUUCUAUUGUAGUGUUAUAUCGUCUUCGAGAGCAUAUGACGAUGUUCCAUUCUGUAUCGAUACACUUCUAGCUUAAUAUCACGAUUUUAUUAAACAUUCACUCUUAUAAAGUCUUAUUAGUUUUUCUCGUGUUCUAUAGUUCAUCAGUAUGUUUUAUAGAGUUUUGUCAUAUUUCAUAAUAAAAAUUUGAAAAUCCGUCAAAAUAUAUUCAAUAUUGAACUUGUUAUAAAGCCUCAUUACCACAAACACAAAUAUGCAAACAGAUCAUAAAUCCGAUUUGUGUUCAAUAGAUAUGGACGUUUCAAUUUUUAGAAUAAGAUUUUAAUGCAUGUGUUUUUUAAAGGAGAGACUAGAUGGAUAGUUGCACUGUACAAUUUCUAGGAUAACACACAACUCUGUACCAUAUCUAACACAACACAACAUGCAUAUUAGAGUAUACAAAUAAUAGAAAUAGUAUGAAGAAUCUUAGUGGAAAAGGUGGCACUGAUCCUCACAAAAUGCAUCAAAAGCUAAGUCAUGCACGGUACCUCGCGUCCACAUUAGAAUAACCGCUCUCCAGGUUAAUGGAUGGGUCACGAAAGGGAGCGGUUUGAGCUGCUAAGAGAAUAUGAAGAUAUGUACCUGAUUGGUCCAGCCUUCAGAUUAGCUUUCUUGCAUGUGUGGCUGAUGGGACCGACGUGCGACCCGAAAAUAUCUCAUCUACCGUCGUCGGCAUGUAUCGACAAAAUAAUGUGGUCCGUCAUUAUUCUAUCUUAAGGUAUAGUAAUUUUGUGCUCAUCUUACAUUUAUUCAUAUUUUAUAAUUGAAAAAGAUGUUAAUUUUUAUGUUUUAUUUCGACAAUAAGAUAAGUGGAGAAAUCUAUGGAAACUUAUCCGAUCAGUCUAGAUCGGCGUAGGGUUUGAUUGUGUAGAUUUGACAAUUCACGUGACUCAUAAAGUGAAAUGUUCUUUCAUGUUUGAAUGAAUAGUUAAUUCAGAAUUACGGGGGCUUGAUCCACUCCCCCACCUUAUGUGUGUGUGNNNNNNNNNNNNNNNNNNNNNNNNNNNNNNNNNNNNNNNNNNNNNNNNNNNNNNNNNNNNNNNNNNNNNNNNNNNNNNNNNNNNNNNNNNNNNNNNNNNNNNNNNNNNNNNNNNNNNNNNNNNNNNNNNNNNNNNNNNNNNNNNNNNNNNNNNNNNNNNNNNNNNNNNNNNNNNNNNNNNNNNNNNNNNNNNNNNNNNNNNNNNNNNNNNNNNNNNNNNNNNNNNNNNNNNNNNNNNNNNNNNNNNNNNNNNNNNNNAGGACAUCACAACAUUUUGUUAUCAAUUGUUGAUUACGCUGAGUACAUAUAACUUAAAAUUAUUAUUUAUAUCUUAUAAUCACCUAUACAAGGUAUAUUAAUAUAUUAUAUAUUUAAAGUAUGGGUUUACCAGAAAACAAAAAAUAGGCUAGAAAAUCCCACAAAAACUAGAAAUAUCCAACCAUUUAUUAAUAGACUAAUUUUUCAUAUCCACUAGGUGAAAGCACGUGUGUUGCUACGGGACAACUAAACAAUAUUUUUUUUAAGAAACUCGAUGCCAAACUUGAUUUCAUCGUGUUGUGACAAGCAUUGAGUGUCCGAAUAUUGCUAGCUGUGGUGCCCGUUAAAAAAAUACUUUUACGGUGCACUUUUUUUUGAAACUUUUUGUAAACAGGCACGCUCGUGCACACACACUACAUAUGCGCAAAAAAUCAUUAUAUUUUACUUUAACACGGGGCAUACAAAAAAGACAAAAAUGUAUUUUCAAAUGGACCAGAUUUUUUUGUUUUUGGGCCGGAAUUUUGUGUUUUUGUACAGCUUACAAUUUACAUUUUUUAAAACAAAAUUUUAUGGAUCUGUAGUGAAUACACACAAGUUUUCACAGAACUAUUUUCAUUUUUUUUCAAACUUUUAAAUAUGGCUGUUGAUUUUUUUUUCAAAAAAAGGGCACCGUGAUGCCUGAGCACACAAACUUCUCACUCAUUGAGGGUCUCUCUUUUGUUUCCCUCAAAAGAGAAGUUGAAACAUUUUACGUGUCGAAUUACCAGUUUAAGAUGCCCCCAAAGAUUUGUAUAUGACUACAUGUUCAUCACACAAUUCAAUAAUUUAUAUAUCAAGUCUACUGCGUCUAGAACGAAUGACUAAUUGUGACAACUCGAUCCUACCAUGAGUUAGAAGAUAGUCACAUAUAUAUCAAAUAACUCUCAGAUCACAACAACCAAAGUAAUUCCUAACAAUUAUUCGAGUCAAGAAUUAGUCAGGAUCACUCAAUCAUACUUUUACAUACGAACAAUGGACACUACAGAAAAACUGCUUUAGUUGCCAGAGAUAUUAGUAUAACUUUUGGUGGCACAUGCAUUUGAAUGAAUCAAAUGCUUUAAUUAAAAUAUCAAGAAAUUUUGUAAUUGAGAAACCAAAAUUAGUGAAAACACUUCAUACCUGACUUGAAGAAGAUAGAAUAAUAUAUUUUAAAGCUUCCUCUGGCUAUUCGACUUUAUAACCCAACAAGAUGCCAUCCAACAUGUGAAGUGCAUCUGAAUGACCAAAUGCUUUAAUUAAUAUUAGACUUGAAAAGCAUCACAUUUUCUUUGUCAAACUCAAGAAUAAAACUCCAACUAAUCAUCCACAGACAACAACUUACAUGGUAGGCCACAAAAAUAUUCAAGAGAUCAAAAUAUUAACAGUAUUAUCCAUCUAUUUCCAUAAUGUUAGAUUUCACAAACAAGGCAGUAACUUUUAUAUGUCAGCACUACCACUCCCUAACUUUUGAAUGCAAUCACCCCUUAAGUUAUGACAUGCAGGUUCAGUGAGGUACAAAGAUCUUUGCCGACAUUUAGUACAUCUGUUGAAUGCAGUAAGUUUUUGGAAUAGUAGGAAACAUUUUUUUGAAUUACAUGAACACUUUUUUACAUUGCAUACUAUUUUUCAAAAGUGUCACGUGUAUUUUUUUGAAACGCAUGAACAUUUUUUAAAAUAUCACAUACAUUGUUUAAUUGGUACAAAUAUUCUCUAAAAGCUGGGUGAAUAUCGGUUUUACACUGCAUGGACAUUUUUAAGUGUACGAUGACAUUUUAAAAAACAAAAUUUGUUUUUUCAUAAUAUAUGUAUUUACAAGACACAAAUAUAAGUUUUUUUAGGGAACAUAAAUGUAAGUUUUUUUGAGACAAUCAUGCGAAUCUUUAUUAAACCAUCACAAUGUUUACAGGGAUGAAAGAAAGUUCACCGGGAUGGCCUAACCAAACAUGGCGGCCAACCCUAAAUUCAAGCGCACGGUUUGCAAGAUUGUGGCCUCAAAUUUCGAGCUCCUAAAUUCAUGGAAAAAAUUACAUAAAAUGAAACUACUCGAAUACUCUAUGAUUUCAUGUAUAAUAGCACCGUAGCCCGCCCCGCUCUUCCGCUUAAUAUCCUCAAUCACCACCUUACAAUCUGAUGCAACAUGGAUAGAUUGUAAAUUAAAAUCCUCUGCGAGGGCUAGCCAUUGAUUCUCUUGCUGCUAGUGCGUCCAAUGUGUAGGGUCGCUAGUGCCCCUAAAGACAAUGGCCGAUGAACCCAGGUACAUGCCCUCCCUGUCUCUGCACACUGCCACAACUGCCCACAAAUAUAAGUAGAACAUAAAAAAAAAUGUGCGUGACUUCAGCCUGACGAAACCACAUGGCUACUGGGCCGGCUCACUAAUAGCUCCCUAUAGGCGAGCUCGGCUUCCGCCUCGCUAAAGGCGAGGCAUAUGUUUGCCCCUGUAUCUUGCCUAUAGGGAGUGGCACGCUUGUCUGGCCUACAAAGAGAUAUGUUCGGCUUGGCCCAUGAGCAAAGGCUGACCAACAGUACCGUUCUAGUUAGUUUGUGCAUGCUUAAUGCUGGGUUUUUUCUCUUUAUUUUUUCACUUUCUCCCUUCUUAUAAUUUUUUUGAAGGCUUUAAAGUAUAUUUUUGAAAAAAGUUUUUUAUUUUACUAGAUUUACAAAAAGAAUUUAUAGGGUAUUAAAAAAUGGUAAUCAUGUUUUCAAAAAGGGUUCAUCAUGUGUUGAAAAGAUUCCCCGGGUAUCGAAAAUGUUCAUUGGGUCUUCUAAUUUUUUCAUAGGAUAUUUAAGAAAUGUCCACCAUAAAAUAAUUUUUCAUCAAUGUUUCCAAGAUGUUCGAUGCAUAUUAAAAAGAUCAUUUUGUUUGAAAAAAUUUCCGUCAUGUAAUAGAAAUUUUUUCGCCGGUCAUUAAGAAGGGUUCAUCAUCUUAUUUAACAAAUGUCUAUUGCAUAUUAAAUAAAUGUCCAUUGUGUUUUAAAAUACUUUCAUCAUCUAAUAUAAAAAAUUUCAACGCAUAUUACCCUUUUAAAUAAAUGAUGAUACAUUAAAAAAUGGGCAUGGAAAUGUAAAAAGUUCUCCACAUAUACUUUUUAAAAUGUUAAUGCCAUAUAAAUAAAUAAAUAAAUAAAUAAAUAAAUAUAUAUAUAUAUAUAUAUAUAUAUAUAUAUAUAUAUAUACACACACACACACACAUACACUCUAUGACCGAUAGGAUUCUAUGUACAGUACUCCACUGACCACUGAUUACCGUUCUUUCAGUGGAUGGAUCUUUUUCAGUGGAAUCCGGCGCGAUAGCGGUAGGGAUGAUUCUCCGACUACAUGAUGGUUCAGUUAUUUGUAUAGCAUAUCGGUUUAUUUCAAUUGUGACGAAGCACUGGAAGCAGAGAUACAUGCCAUUAUGCAACAUGUUGCUUGCUAUACAACAUUUCAGUCUUCCAGUCAUUGUCCAAUCUGACUCAAGUGAGGCUUUAUCCUGUCUAUCAGGGGAUGGACUAGUUCAUUCGACAUAUGGUCAUCUCGUGGCUGAAAUUAAGGAGUUGAUGUGUGACAUGGAGUUUAUUCCCCAGAAAUUGACUAGGGAUCAAAAUAGAGUUGCCGAUCGUCUGGCAAGUUAUAGUCGUAUCGAGUGUACCAUGACUGUGUGGAAGCACUUGGGACCGCCAUGUAUCGAGGAUCUUCUGACUCUCGGCUGUAACUCUCUCAAUUUGGAAUAAAACUUCUUUCCCCGCUCAAAAAUAUAUAUGCUUGGGGGGGAGGUGCCAUAUAUCGCUUCUAGCGAGAGCAGUACGCUCGCAUCGCUCACGCGCCUGCUGUUCGUGGGCUUGGCCAACGAGCGUGGAAGAGCUAGCGCACGUUCAUUUUUCUCUUUAUUAUUUCGGUCGGUUUAAUUUUAAUUACAAUCAUGGAUAAGAAAAAGUUCAUGAAUUUUAAAAGAGUUCACAUUUGAAGAAUAUUUCAUAUUUUAAAAAAUGUUAACGGAUUUGACAAAGUUCAUAAAAUUGGAAAAGUGAAGAAUUUAAAAAACAAAUCAGUGAAAAAUGUCCACAGAUUUGGAAAAGGUUUAAUAAUUUAAAGAAAGCUCACUUAUUUUAGAAAAUUGUUCAGUGAACGACAUUUGAAAAAGGUUCAGUGAAAAAUGUUCAGAAGUUCGACUUUUUUCAUGAAUUUAAAAAAUGUUCUUGAAUUUGAAAAAAGUUCGUGCAUUUGAAAAAUCUUUGCGGAUUUGUAAAAUCUUCUUGUAUUCAAGAAACGGGAAAAAUGAAAAAGGAAAGACAAAAAAAAGCAGUAAAACCGGUGCAUAUAUACAUCGGACGUUGGGUAAUCAUAUGAUAAAGAUCAUCGGAUACAUCGAAUGCAGAAUGACGCGUAUGUGGCUGUCGUCUAAGACGUUGAAGCGACGUUGGAUACAGCCUGUAUGCAUGAUAUACACGCCCGUGCACGCACGACGCAUAGUACAUUAUGCAACACUUGGUCAAAAAAUAAUAUAGGGAAGUUUUGUUUUUUCGAAAAAAUAAUAUAGAGAAGUUGACUUGGGACAAGGCUGUACCUUAGAAAAAUGUGGAAUAAUUUUCCCCUCGCGAACAAAGAAAAAAAAAGUGAGUAUGCAGUUUCUGAAUUUCGUUGACUUGAGUGCCAUGAUACAUCGAUCCGUGCACGUACUUAGCAAAACAUGUCUACUUUGCUGGUAAUAUCCAAGUUAAUUAACUCCCUGCAAGACAUGUCUACUCUAAUUAAUUUGACUAAAUGCAAAAUACAUCCGUGCACGAUGUAGAUCAAACAGCUAGCGCCUAGCAGUAGACGGAACGGCACAAAAAUCCUAGGAAUGUGGCUAUAUAUAUCUUCAUGGAAUGCAGGCCAUUACAUCCGCAUCCACCACAAAAUCAAGUACUAGUGCUUCUCCUACAGCGACCAGCAGGCAGUUCGUUGGCAUGGCGUCUUCAUCUCUAUCAGUGGUGCUGCUCCUUGUGUGCCUGGCCGCGGCGGCGUCGGCGCAGCUGUCCCCGACGUUCUACGACGCGUCGUGCCCCGGGGCGCUGGCCACCAUCAAGAGCGGCGUGGCGGCCGCCGUGAGCAGCGACCCCCGCAUGGCCGCGUCGCUGCUCCGUCUGCACUUCCACGACUGCUUCGUCCAAGCAAGUUCUUCACACGCUACUUGGUUAUUGUUUAGAUCGGUUUCAUUCGCUGAACACCAGCGGUUAACCGUGCAUGUUGCUUGCGCAGGGCUGCGACGCGUCCGUUCUGCUGGCUGGCAACGAGCGGAACGCGUUCGGGAACGUGGGAUCGCUGCGAGGCUUCGACGUCAUCGACAAAAUCAAGGCGACUGUGGAGCAGGCGUGCAAGCGCACCGUCUCCUGCGCCGACAUCCUCGCCGUCGCCGCUCGCGAUUCCGUCGUCGCGGUAAGAACUAACAUGAUCUUUCAACCCCUUUUUAAUUUAUUUGUUUGCAUGCGUGUCACGGCUUUGAACUGAGGUUAGUACUCAUCGGUUAUACUUUUGUAGGUAGGAGGCCCGUCAUGGACGGUCUCUCUGGGGAGGAGAGACUCCGACACGGCUAGCGAGGCACUGGCCAACCGUGACCUUCCUGCCCCAUCACUCGGCGUCACCGACCUCAUCACCCGCUUCGCCGCCAAGGGGCUCAACCACACCGAUAUGGUCGCCCUCUCCGGUGCGCACACCAUCGGGCGGGCGCAGUGCAAGAACUUCAGGACCAGGCUCUACAGCGAGGAGAACAUUGACCCGGCCUUCGCGACGUCGCGCAUGGCCACCUGCCCUCAGCUAACCGGCUCUGGCGACAACAACCUGGCCCCAUUGGACGAUACGACCCCGGACUCCUUCGACAACGCCUACUUCGUCAACCUCAAGCUCAACAAGGGGCUCCUACACUCCGACCAGGUGCUCUACACCCUUGCCGGUGGUGCCACCGAAGACAUCAUUGAUGGCUUCGCGUCUAACCAGGAUGCGUUCAACAACGCCUUUGCCGCAGCCAUGGUGAAGAUGGGGAACAUCAGCCCCUUGAUUUUCCCACAGGGUCUGGUCAGGCGCACCUGCUCUAGGGCGAACUAAGAAUUGCCGGCCGGCCAUUUGCACUGAAAUGAUAGCGUCGACCAUGCAUCAACCUCUUUGAGAUCCCAAUUAGCCACAUAUUUUCUCCACAAAAUGAGCCAUCCAUGUCUCUGCAGCACCUUGUGGUGCCACAUACUCCAUUAUUUCUUGCUUUUUUUGUACCUAUUGUAAUUUUUUGGAGCCCAUUAUUCUUCAAUUUGUUUCUCUUCUAUACUUUGCAAAUUAUUCAUAACCUGUUCACAUUUGUUUUUGUGUAAAACGUUAUGUCAAUUUUUUUAUGAUCUCAUAAUUUUCUAGAGACAAUAAUCAUGUCAAGUUUCCCAAAGUUUCAGAGAUUGUUCACAAAUAUUCCAACGAAAUUUCACUAAAAGUUCACUUCAAUUUCACACUUUCACAUGUUUCAUAUCUGUUCCAACACACAUAUUUACUUUCAUUCUAUCAGAAUUAAGAGUUUAAUUAAAAAUUCUAGCAAGAUAUAAAAAAGAGUCGCCCCAUCUCUGGGUUGUUGGGAGAAAGACAACACCCACUCGACAUAUAAAACCAGAGUUCAUAUGGUGUCGUCUCAACGGAUUUAUAUGGUGCCCUAUUUAACGUGAAUGCAGCCGUCUCUAAAGCAUAACCCCAAAACGAUAGCAGUAAAUCAGUAAGAGACAUCAUAGAUCGCACCAUAUCUAAUGAAGUGCGGUUACGACGUUCGGACACACCAUUACGCUGUGGUGUUCCGGGUGGCGUGAGUUGCGAAACUAUUCCGCAUUGUUUCAAAUGAAGACCAAACUCGUAACUCAAAUAUUCUCUUCCACGAUCAAAUCAUAGAAACUUUAUUUUCUUGUUACGAUGAUUUUCCACUUCACUCUGAAAUUCUUUGAACUUUUCAAAUGUUCCAGACUUAUGUUUCAUCAAGUAGAUAUACCCAUAUCUGCUCAAAUCAUCUGUGAAGGUCAAAAAAUAACGAUACCUGCCGCGAGCCUUAACACUCAUCGGACCGCAUACAUCAGUAUGUAUUAUUUCCAACAAGUCUGUUGCUCGCUCCAUUAUUCCGGAGAACGGAGUCUUAGUCAUCUUGCCUAUGAGGCAUGGUUCGCAAGCAUCAAGUGAUUCAUAAUCAAGUGAUUUCAAAAGCCCAUCAGCAUGGAGUUUCUUCAUGCGCUUUACACCAAUAUGACCUAAACGGCAGUGACACAAAUAAGUUGCACUAUCAUUAUUAAACUUAUAUCUUUUGGCUUCAAUACUAUGAAUAUGUGUAUCACUACUAUCGAGAUUUAGUAAAAAUAGACCACUCAUCAAGGGUGCAUGACCAUAAAAGAUAUUACUCAUAUAAAUAGAACAACCAUUAUUCUCUGAUUCAAAUGAAUAACCGUCUCGCAUCAAACAAGGUCCAGAUAUAAUGUUCAUGCUUAACGCUGGCACCAAAUAACAAUUAUUCAGGUCUAAAACUAAUCCCGAAGGUAGAUGUAGAGGUAGCGUGCCGACGGCGAUCACAUCGACUUUGGAACCAUUUUCCAUGCGCAUCGUCACCUCGUCCUUAGCCAAUCUCCGCUUAACCCGUAGCCCCUGUUUCGAGUUGCAAAUAUGAGCAACAGAACCAGUAUCAAAUACCCAGACGCUACUGCGAGCAUCAGUUAAGUACACAUCAAUAACAUGUAUAUCAAAUAUACCUUUCACUUUGCCAUCCUUCUUAUCCGCCAAAUACUUGGGGCAGUUCCGCUUGCAGUGACCAGUCCCUUUGCAGUAAAAGCACUCAGUCUCAGGCAUAGGUCCAGACUUGGGCUUCUUCACUUGAGCAGCAACUUGCUUGCUGUUCUUCUUGAAAUUCCCUUUCUUCCCUUUGCCCUUCUUCUUGAAACUGGUGGUCUUGUUGACCAUCAACACUUGAUGCUCCUUCUUGAUUUCUACCUCCGCAGCCUUUAGCAUUGCGAAGAGCUGGGGAAUUGUCUUAUCCAUCCCUUGCAUAUCAUAGUUCAUCAUGAAGCUCUUGUAGCUUGGUGGCAGUGAUUGAAGAACUCUGUCAAUGACACUAUCAUCAGGAAGAUUAACUCCCAGCUGAGUCAAGUGGUUGUGGUACCCAGACAUUCUGAGUAUAUGUUCACUGGCAGAACUAUUCUCCUCCGUUUUGCAGCUGUAGAACUUAUUGGAGACUUCAUAUCUCUCAAUCCAGGCAUUUGCUUGAAAUAUUAACUUCAACUCCUGGAACAUCUCAUAUGCUCCAUGACGUUCAAAACGACUUUGAAGUCCCGGUUGUAAGCCGUAAAGCAUGGCACGCUGAACUAUCGAGUAGUCAUCAACACGCGACUGCCAGGCAUUCACAAUGUAUGCAGUUGCUGGCGCGGGUGGUACACCUAGCGGUGCUUCCAGGACGUAAUUCUUCUAUGCAGCAAUGAGGAUAAUCCUCAAGUUAUGGACCCAGUUCGUGUAGUUGCUACCAUCAUCUUUCAACUGAGCUUUCUUUAGGAAUGCAUUAAAAUUCAAAGGAACAGUAGCAUGGGCCAUUGAUCUACAACAACAUAGACAUGCAAAAUACUAUCAGGUACUAAGUUCAUGAUAAAUUAAAGUUUAAUUAAUCAUAUUACUUAAGAACUCCCACUUAGAUAGACAUCCCUCUAAUCAUCUAAGUGAUAAGGUGAUCCAAAUCAACUAAACCAUGUCCGAUCAUCACGUGAGAUGGAGUAGUUUUCAAUGGUGAACAUCACUAUGUUGAUCAUAUAUACUAUAUGAUUCACGCUCGACCUUUCGGUCUCAGUGUUCCGAGGCCAUAUCUGCAUAUGCUAGGCUCGUCAAGUUUAACCCGAGUAUUCUACGUGUGCAAAACUGGCUUGCAUCCGUUGUAUGUGAACUUAGAGCUUAUCACACCCGAUCAUCACGUGGUGUCUCGGCACGACGAACUGUCGCAACGGUGCAUACUCAGGGAGAACACUUAUACCUUGAAAUUUAGUGAGAGAUCAUCUUAUAAUGCUACCGCUGAACUAAGCAAAAUAAGAUGCAUAAAGGAUAAACAUCACAUGCAAUCAAUAUAAGUGAUAUGAUAUGGCCAUCAUCAUCUUGUGCCUUUGAUCUCCAUCUCCAAAGCACCGUCAUGAUCACCACCGUCACCGGCUUGACACCUAUCACGACUAUCGAUACCGCUUAGUGAUAAAGUAAAGCAAUUACAUGGCGAUUGCAUUUCAUACAAUAAAGCGACAACCAUAAGGCUCCUGCCAGUUGCCGAUAACUGUUACAAAACAUGAUCAUCUCAUACAACAAUUUAUAUAUCAUCACGUCUUGACCAUAUCACAUCACAACAUGCCCUGCAAAAACAAGUUAGACGUCCUCUACUUGUUGUUACAAAUUUUACGUGGCUGCUACGGGCUUUAGCAAGAACCGUUCUUACCUACGCAUCAAACACCACAACGAUUUUUCGUCAAGUGUGCUAUUUUAACCUUCAACAAGGACCGGGCGUAGUCACACUCGAUUCAACUAAAGUUGGAGAAACAGACACCCACUAGCCACCUGUGUGCGAAGCAUGGCGGUAGAACCAGUCUCAUGAACGCGGUCAUGUAAUAUCGGUCUGGGCCGCUUCAUCCGACAAUACCGCUGAAUCAAAGUAUGACAUGCGGGUAAGCAGUAUGACUAUUAUCGCCCACAACUCUUUGUGUUCUACUCGUGCAUAUAACAUCUACGCAUAAACCUGGCUCUGAUACCACUAUUGGGGAACACAGUAUUUCAAAAAAUUUCCUACGAUCACGCAAGAUCUAUCUAGGAGAUGCAUAGCAACGAGAGGGUAGAGUGUGUCUACGUACCCUCGUAGACCGAAAGCGGAAGCGUUAGGUAACGCGGUUGAUGUAGUCGAACGUCUUCGUGAUCCAACCGAUCAAGUACCAAACGCACGACACCUCCGCGAUCUGCACACGUUCAGCUCGGUGACAUCCCUCGAACUCUUGAUCCAGCUGAGGCCGAGGGAGAGUUUCAUCAGCACGACGGCAUGAUGACAGUGAUGAUGAAGUUACCGACGCAGGGCUUCGCCUAAGCUCUACAAUGAUAUGACCGAGGUGGAAAUAUGUGGAGGGGGCACCGCACACGGCUAAAAAGUCAACUUGUGUGUCUAUGGGGUUGCCCCCUCCCCCGUAUAUAAAGGAGGGGAGGAGGGGGCCGACCGGUCUCAUGGUGCGCCCCCAAGGGGGGGAAUCUUACUCCUACUAGGAGUAGGUUCCCCCCUUUCCUAGUCCUAAUAGGAGGGGGAAGAAAGGGGAAGAGGAGAAGAAGGAAAGGGGGGCCGGCCCCCUCCCAAUUCGGUUGGGCUUGGGGGGCGCCCCUCCUCUUGGCCGCCUCCUCUCUCUUCCACUAAAGCCCAUGUAGGCCCAUUAAGCCCCCGGGGGGUUCCGGUAACCUCCGGUACUCCGGAAAAUGCCCAAACUCAUCUGAAACCUUUCCGGUGUCCAAACAUAACCUUCCAAUAUAUCAAUCUUCAUGUCUCGACCAUUUCGAGACUCCUCGUCAUGUCCGUGAUCACAUCCGGGACUCCGAACAACCUUCGGUACAUCAAAACACAUAAACUCAUAAUACCGAUCGUCAUCGAACGUUAAGCGUGCGGACCCUACGGGUUCGAGAACUAUGUAGAUAUGACCGAGACUCAUCUCCGGUCAAUAACCAAUAGCGGAACCUGGAUGCUCAUAUUGGCUCCCACAUAUUCUACGAAGAUGUUUAUCGGUCAAACCGCAUAACCACAUACGUUGUUCCCUUUGUCAUCGGUAUGUUACUUGCCCGAGAUUCGAUUGUCGGUAUCAUCAUACCUAGUUCAUUCUUGUUACCGGCAAGUCUCUUUACUCGUUCCGUAGUGCAUCAUCCCGUAACUAACUCAUUAGUCACAUUGCUUGCAAGGCUUAUAGUGAUGUGCAUUACCGAGAGGGCCCAGAGAUACCUCUCCGACAAUCGGAGUGACAAAUCCUAAUCUCGAUCUAUGCCAACUCAACAAACACCAUCGGAGACACCUGUAGAGCAUCGUUAUAAACUUCCAGUUACGUUGUGACGUUUGAUAGCACACUAAGUGUUCCUCCGGUAUUCGGGAGUUGCAUAAUCUCAUAGUCGUAGGAACAUGUAUAAGUCAUGAAGAAAGCAAUUGCAAUAAACUAAACGAUCAAAGUGCUAAGCUAACGGAUGGGUCAAGUCAAUCACAUCAUUCUCUAAUGAUGUUAUCCCGUUCAUCAAAUGACAACUCAUGUCUAUGGCUAGGAAACUUAACCAUCUUUGAUACAUGAGCUAGUCAAGUAGAGGCAUACUAGUGACACUCUGUUUGUCUAUGUAUUCACACAUGUACUAAGUUCCGGUUAAUACAAUUUAGCAUGAAUAAUAAACAUUUAUCAUGAUAUAAGGAAAUAUAAAUAACAACUUUAUUAUUGCCUCUAGGGCAUAUUUCCUUCAACCCUAACCUAACCCUAGUCGAACGUGGGUGCUGUCGUGGCUGUCCUUGUGCAUGGCGGCCGCGGCUGCGGGUGGCGACGAGGACGACCUGAAAUACAAGCGGGCACGGUGACCUUAUACCUGCCGGAGUGGAGGGCGAUAGGGUGGCGGAUCGAGGGCGACGACAGCGGCAGAUCGAGGGCGAGGGUGACAUGGUGGAGGGCGAGGACAACGGCGGCAACGGACAACAACAGCGAGGGCGAGGGCGGUGAUGACGGCAGCGGACGGCGGAUGGCAAUGACGAGGACGAGGGUAGCGGGCGGUGACAACGAGGGAGAGGACGUUGACAGCGAGGGUGAGGAUGGCAACGGCGAGGACGUGGGCAGCGCCGUGGUGGAGGGUGAAAGCGGCGACGAGAGCGAGAUGAGGGAGAGAGUGAGGGGGUAGGGGGCGCGCGCGUGCAGAUAGUACUCGUCACUUGCGGCGGGCGCGCCACACCACCCGCCACUGCUAAUUUGGGGUGACAGGCGGCAAUACUUCAGUUGAAUUUGAACAGUCUGCCGCUAACCUAUGUGUGGCGGGCAUGGCCAAGUGUAUAUGUGUAUAUAUAUAUAUAUAGCCGGUUGGAGGCUUUUAGCUGUGGCAGGACACCGCCACCGCUGCCUGUAACAACAGUGGCGGGUAAUCCUAGCCACUCGCCACAAAAACAUUUAUAACAUAGCCACCCUCAGCAGUGCUUGUUUAUGGCGGGUGAUGUAUAUCGUCCACCACUGGAGUGCCCCUAGCUCUGGCGGUUGCUUUAUGUUACCUGCCAAUGCUACUUGUCCUAACUAGUUGUGGUGGGUGUCUUGGCCCGCCGUCCACUCUAUUGCGCUCAUCUAUAGGGCCUUUCCCAGUAGUGACGGUACCAAAUAAAGGUAAACAGAGAGCUUAUAAAUCAGUUCAGUCUGUCACGAGGUUUGGGACAGGGAGACCCCAUACCAGGGGCGGAGACAGGGGGCGAGCAGGGGCUGGACCCCCCCCCGCGCUAGUAGUAGUAUACCUAUAUAAUAGGACGCGUUGCCGUAGAUAAUCACUCGAUUAAGAUUUGAAGCCCACAAUUUAGUUCUGUAGCUUUACCAGGAGCCCAAAAUACAGCCCGUUAGCCCAUCGUGGAAGGCUUCUAGCGUCUUGAUUGGCCUUUUAAUCUAUCCGCCUAGAACGUGCGCGUCGCUUUUCAUCGAUCGAUCGAUCUGGCGCAACUAGGGCACCUGCUGCCGCUCCAACUUUCGCAAAGCACGCCGCCGGUUAUCAGCUGAGGCGCUGCGGUCGACUGCGUCAAUGGCUUGCCGCUUGAUCCUGCUGCAGUAUCUCUCCAAGGAGUCUAUAGAUCACCAACUUACUUCCGUCGAAGCUAGCAGUCAGAUCAAAAGGUACCCUGAUGUGCUUAUCCUAUCGCUCAUGGUGAAGUACCUUAUUUUGUCCAAUUAACAUGUUUGUUUGGUUAAUUAGCAACUUUACAUGUCAGUCUGGUUAGUUAGUGACCCUGUAUAUAGGUCAAUUUUUUCCAAGUUAGAUGUAGCUUUACAAAAAAUUGGUAAUAAGGGUGAGAAAAAAGACAACGGCAAUACACAUAGUAUCAACUCGUUUGUUGAACUUCAUAGCCGUGAAGCUCAAUUUAACGAGUAAGUACCCCAUCCGUACCAACAUAUAAGAGGCUGUAGUGUCCACAAAGUCUUAUGUUUUGAUACAGAAGAAGUAUCUAACUAUAGUAUGGUGUGAAACAGUAGUCUAAAGCGAGUUAUGCCUAACAUGAAACAAAGAGAAUGGUAGAUUUUUCGUGCUUGUGUUGCGAGAUGCCUCUUUGUAAAAUUACUAUGAUUUUUACCUUGAUACAUAGACACGCAAAUAUCAUAUGUGUUCUUGAAAAUGACCAUAGCUUUGUUCGCCCCCCUCAUGUUCAAAUCCUGGCUCCGCCCCUGCCCCAUACCCCCUAUCUUUGUCAUUUGUGUGGAGGGCUGUCUGCAUUACUAUUGGAUGCAGAGGAGCGGGGAACCAUGCAUGGGGUCAAGAUCUGCCCACGUGCGCCGUGUGUGUCGCAUCCCCUUUUUGCUGAUGACUCCAUGCUUUUGAUCAGAGUGGACCAACAGGAAGCCUCGAUGUUACAUGAUGUCCUGCAACUUUAUGAGGAUUGCUCUGGGCAAUGUAUUAAUGUUGAGAAAUAUGUGGUCAUGUUCAGCCCCAACACUUGUGAUGCUCUCAGGAACUCAGUUAAGAACACGCUAGGAAUUUUCAGUGAAAAUUGGAGCGAGAAAUACCUGGGUCUGCCUGUCCAUGUGGGGCGGUCUAAAAGGAAGGCCUUCAACUACAUCAAACGCAACGUGUGUGGGCGUGUGUAUGGUUGGCAGGAGAAGCUUCUUGCUAAGGAGGGUAAGGAGGUUUUAGUGAAGGCUGUGGGACAAGCCAUUUCCCACAUUUGGUUAACCGUGAUUUUCUGAUUGUGGGGGAAACGCUUAACCGUGAUUUUUGCAUCCAACAAAUCAGGCAAGUAUUUUUUGGAAGGCGCUACAUAUAUAAUAGCGCCCACUUCCUAUAAUCACGGGCCAUCACCCCACGUUGCAGUUUCCUUUUAUUCGGUCGAGCAGAAAACAAAAUAUACGACCGAAACACAGCUUGCACUAGUAGAAAACAGGGCUUUGGUCACAGGGCAAUAUUCACAUUAGUCCCGGUUCAAUCACGAACCGGGACUAAUGUGAGCAUUGGUCCCGGUUCGUGCGGCUAAGGCAUUAGUCCCGGUUCACCGGAGCCCUUUAGUCCCGGUUUGAGACACGAACCGGGACUAAAGGGUGCGAUGCCCAUUAGUACCGGUUCGUGGCACCAACCGGUACUAAUAGGGUUUGAGGCAUUAGUACCGGUUCAUGGCACGAACCGGUACUAAAGGUCCCAUUUUCAAACUCUACUCCCCCGCCCCCCGGUGGAUCGCCUUUUCAGUUUUGUAAAAAGCAAAAGAAAAUGAUAAAAACUUCAAAAAUUAAAAUCCUUCCAGAUGUAGUUAUGUUACUACAUGUACUAGUUAGGAAAAUUUGAAAACUUAAAUUUGGACAUGUUUUGCAAAAAGUAUAGGGAAAAUGUAAAACGGCUAUAACUUUUGCAUACGAUGUCAGAAAAAAACGUAUAAUAUAUCAAAAUGUUCAGCACGGAAAUCCGCAUGCGAUUUUGACAGCCUAUGGCCUGUUUGCAAAUUUUUAGAAUCCUCAAAUUCUAAAAGGAAAAAAAGUUAUGCUCAAAUUUCUGUUUUUUUGAAUUUUUGUUAAAUCUGGUCAAAACUACUUAUUCAAGAAGUAUUAGUGUUACUAAAUAAUUAUUCAAGAAUAUUAGUGUUACUAAAUAAUUAUUUCAGUUUUUUUGAAUUUUGGUCAAAUCGGGUCAAACUGUGGUCGAACAAUGGUCAAACUAAUUAUUCAAGAAUAUUAGUGUUACUAAAUAAUUAUUUCAGUUUUUUUGAAUUUUGGUCAAAUCGGGUCAAACUGUGGUCAAACAAUGGUCAAACUAAUUAUUCAAGAAUAUUAGUGUUACUAAAUAAUUAUUUCAGUUUUUUUGAAUUUUGGUCAAAUCUGGUCAAACUGUGGUCAAACAAUGGUCAAACUAAUUAUUCAAGAAAUAUUAGUGUUACUAAAUAAUUAUUUUAGUUUUUUUUUGAAUUUUGGUCAAAUCUGGUCAAACUAUGGUCAAACUGUGGUCAAACAAUGGUGAAACUAUUUAUUCAGGAAAUAUUAGUGUUACUCAAUAAUUAUUGUUUUUUAAAACAAUAGUUUCAAACUCAAACAGUGAAAUGUGUGACUUCAUGCUCAAGCUAAAUUCCUGAGGGUUAAUAGGAUUGACAUUUUACUAUUAUCAGGAGAACAACAAAUGCAGACUUGGAAACGAGGGAGAAUAUAACCUGGAAGUUAAGUGUGCUCAGGCUGGAGUAGUGAGAGGAUGGGUGACCGUCUGGAAAGUUAGAUGAUUUGGAAUAAUGAGGGGUGAUUAGAGAUUAGAGCUUAAAUUAAGCAGUGAUGAGGGGUGGUGAUUAGAGAUUAGAGGUUAAAAUAAUUCAGAAAUUUAAAAUUCAAAUAAAAAAUUCAAAAAAAAUUUAAAAAAAAAUCAUAAAAUUUCCUUUAGUCCCGGUAGGUGGAGCUCCAGGCUGCGGCCACGUGGACGGCCUUCAGUCCCGGUUCGUGUAAGAACCGGGACUAAAGGGGAGGCUUUAGUAACGACCCAAGGCCCUUUUUCUACUAGUGUUGAUCCGGAAAUCACGGUGCCAUAAGCCAUUUGAGGAAUAACUACACGUCAGAUUUGAUCCCCUUAUCUCGGCAAGGCCCGCACACAGAAAAUCGUGGCCUCAUAGACGUGCUACAUUACUUGCAUGCAAUAGGAAAAACUGCUAAUGAACGAAUAUGUGCAGGUUCAUGAAUAAUAGCCGCGCUACCCAGCGCACACGUCGCCCACCUUGCCGCCGGCGCUCCCGCAUGUCACCCACCUCGGCACAGCACCGCGCGCGUCGCACACUUUGCCGCUGUACAUGUGCAAGUCGCCGCCAGUGGUGGUUGGCCGGUCCGCUCGGUCCAGCCCGGGCUUCGUCCUCGUCGGUCCAGUCCCGGAAAUCAGGACCGUCGUGCUGCUCGGUCCGGUCCGGCAAGGACCGCUGGCGGGCGGUCCAGACGACGGCUCGGACCGGGACCGGACUGGCCCGGAUCGUGUCCAUCCUUACACGCGGGGACGAGGUACGCGAUGCCAUCAUACGCCGCGACUCAGCGCUGCACGUGACCUGUUCGAUGCUUUGCCUGCUCGGGGCUCCACGAACGGUGCUCCCCUCCCCUGUUGCGUGUGUCACUCAUGGCACUCAUGGGAGAGCGAGCGAGCGACCUAGCUAGCCUGGCCUGCCCGUACCGUCCCGCCCCAUACUCAUGCUGCUGUAGUACUGUCUGCUGUGUCCCUAUGAUGUUUGGCCAAUGCUGCUGCUCUCUGUUUGAGCUAAUGUGGGCUGAAGAACAAUAGAGGCUCACAGUAGGGCGAAACUGAGAUGUCUUGCAAAUAUUUACUAGUACACCCACUCACAGCAUCAAAGUUAAGCGAUGUUUUCUUAAUUAUCACAAUUAAGCUAGGUUAUAUUCCUUGCAUACACAUGUAGCACGUCAAUACGUCACACUUCCAUAAACUACUGACGUCAAAUAUAUACUAGCUGUGGAUUGAGCUAAAACAAGUCGCCAUAAUCAAGCCUUCAUCUCCUUGUCUUUGUACAUGCGGACGUACUUGAUCGUCUACUCCUCAAGCCUCUUCAUGACUCUCUCCUCAAUGGUGUCCUCCUCCAGGCCCCACUGAUGAUGAAUCAGUUUGCGAGCUACGAUAAUGAGUCAAGAUUUAUGGUUACUGACGUAUAUAGUAAUAAGGCAGGACAUCCAAAUUAAAGUAGAUUCAUUUCGUACCUGCUGGCUCCUCAGCAUCCACUUUGAAAUACCAUCGUAUUCGUAUUCCUCUCCCAUCUAUAAACACAGGUAGUCACCCAUCGAUCGUCACAACGCGCGAUUCACCGAUGGGAGAUGGGCAACCUGCAUGUUAAGAGGAUCAGAACUUGAACUGGAAAGCAGCAUCACAACUACUAGUGUAAAGAACAGCUCUUAAUGAAUUGCCACAUUGGCAGCUGUUAAGCUCAAGGUGCAAAAAAACAAAAACAAAAACACACACGUACCUUUGGUCCCGUCGAAUUUUACUGGCACAGUGGCAUGGCAAGGAGGGGUUCUCGUUGGACUUGAAAUGGUCUAAUUUGGUUCGGACCGAAAAGAUUAUCCUUCACGGUAGUAUAGUUCUUCGAUCCAUCUAGUGAUUAUUUGCACCGUCCAAAUCCAACUCAAACAGAUCAGAGCUAGUGUCGCUGCCCCAACCAAGAUCAGCGCCAUCUUCCACUUUUUUCACUUGAUGGCAAUCACUUAAUUUGGCAUCAACAUCAAUCUUCUCAAAAACGACAUGGUGUUGCUCUUCCAAAGCAUGCCCAUAGCAUCUCACCACCCACCUCUCCUCGCCGCCACAGGCCCCCCUCACUACCCGAACGCCUUGCAGCCUCCUGUCCCCCACCACCUCACCCAAAUCACGGCCGCAAGCAGCUGCAACAGCAGCUGUGACAACAUCACUGCUCCCACGCGAGGAUAACGAGGAGACCCGGUGAUGAGCCUCGUCGUGGAUCCCCGCCGGAGGAUUCUUGCAAAAGCUCACCACCGGUGACACAAGGGAGGAGCCGAAGAAGGGGGUGAGGUUGCUCUUAGUCUUGGCUCCCAGCUCCUGGGUGCUGUGGUAGCUUUCCUCCUUGUGAUGCAUCAUAGCUUUCACUUGGAUCAUCAAGUCUUUAGGUUCAGGCUGCCUUGCAGUGACCGGGCUGGCAGCAAGGUCGGCUAGGCCGUCGAAGUAGCGUGUCGCUCCAAACACGGCGAGUUCGCCGGAGCUGCCAUGCCGAGCGCGGCGCUGCAUUGGGUAUGAAUGUUUGAGAUGGUCAGAGAAGUAGUGUUUGUGUGCGCAUGUGUGGGGUUACAAGUUACACGUUUAUAACGAAGUUGUGGAGGAGGGGAGAUGUAUGUUGGUGGAUUGGACUUGAUGGCUGAGAGGGAAAUCCGGGAAUGGGUGAAUGGGGGCAGAGGAGGCAGCACGCAUGUAGGCUAGUGCAUCUACCAAUAUCAUGUGUCAAGAAAGGUGUGGCUUGCAAUGAAUGAAGGGGCAGUAGGAUCGUACUCAUCCUCUGUUGUCUGGCGUAUGAUUGUAGGAGUGUCCUUUGAUUGCCCAUGUCUACUCCACUCCACCUGCAUGUGAAUCAUGCUUGCUCAUAAAGGCAGAAAUCAGAAGAAUGUUGUGAUAAAUAGCUAGCAAAAGUUGUUCAUGGGGUCAUCACGUACGGUCGUAUGUACGUUUGCACGCACGUGCGAGGUUGAUUCUGAAGAAAUGUUGGAACACAAGAUAGCUCAACACAGAUAUGUGCCGUUACCAGAACUCUGAUUGUGAUGCUCGGAAUAAGCUAUCAUCAAUAUGGCAUAAUGUCAAACAAUAAGGAGACAUAUAUACAGUGGCCGAAACUGGCACAAAGUGAUCAGUAAUCACCACCACCUUCUUGUGGUGGAGCUUCAUCAGGUUAGCACCACAAGCUGGGGCGUCUAGACUAGCAGUAUAGUAGGUUGUUCAGGAGAUGCACACGUAACGUAAGUACAUCAUGUGAUGGACAGUUGCACACGUAACGUAAUUGUGCUUGCAUUAAUUUGCUUUGAUGCAGCGGAACAGUCGACAGAGAUGAUAGGAGUGGUUGGUGGAUUCCUUCUGUUCCGGUUUCAGGAGCACUGCUGCUGCUACGUUUCAGAUUUGAUAUAUACAUACAACAUUCAUCUUAUAAGCUCCCCCGGUGAGGGCGUGAGCGGCAACGCGCACCCGACGCGCAGUGGCUGAGCUCGGUGGUAGGGGAGAAGGUGAACGUACGAGCUGCUGUUGCUGCUGCGGCUGAGAGGGAAUGAAUGAACUAAUUGGGGCAGAGGAGGCAGCACACACGCACGCUAGUGCAUCCAAUGUUAUGUGUCAAGAAAGGAGUGGGUUGUAAUGAAUGAAGGUGGAGUAGGAUCUCGUCUUCUGUUGUCCGGCAAAUGAUUAUAGGAGUGUCCUUUGAUUGCCCAUGUCUACUCCACUCCACCUGCAUGCACUAGCAGAAAACAGGGUUUUGGUCAGAGGGCAAUAUUCACAUUAGUCCCGGUUCGUGAGGCCAGGGGCCUGCCGGGCCUCGUGGGGGCAUUGGUCCCGGUUCGUCUGGCCCCUUUGGUCCCGGUUGCUGGGACGAACCGGGACCAAUGGGCCUCGCUCUUGGCCCACCAUCAUUGGUCCCGGUUGGUGGCUUGAACCGGGACCAUAGGCUGCCCCUUUAGUCCUGGUUCAUGCCAUGAACCGGGACCAAUGAGGUGCCUAUAUAUACCCCUCGCCCGCGAGCAGAGCACUCCAGUGCUCUGUUUUUCUCUGGCCGGCGAGGGGAGGCCUUUGUGGUGUUCUAGCUCACCUCCUAUGCACAUGAGGUGUUCGAUGAAAUGCCCGAGCCACAGUAGUUAAGCUUUCUCCUCUCGAAGCUCGACCUCAAAGCUCCAUUUUCCUUGAGAUUUGUAUGGUUUAGCGGAAUGCACGCAGAUGAACCGGCAAUGGAUGUACGGUGGCAGACACACCUCCGAGUACAUUAAGGGCGUGCAUGAUUUUCUCGAAGUGGCUGAGGCAAACACACAGAAUGGUUUUAUGUGUUGUCCAUGCCCUACAUGUGGGAAUACGAAGUCUUACUCUGACCGGAAAAUCCUUCACACCCACCUGCUUUACAAGGGUUUCAUGCCACAUGUUUGGACGAGGAACGGAGAAAUAGGGGUUAUGAUGGAAGACGGCGAAGAAGAAGAGGACGAUGACAACUAUGUGCCCCCUGAAUACGGUGAUGCUGCAACCGGGGAAGCUGCUGAAGAUCAAGAGGAACCAGACGAUGUGCCCAAUGAUGCUGCAACGGGGGAAGCUGCUGAAGAUCAAGAGGAACCAGUGCCCGAUGAUGAUGAUCUCCGCCGGGUCAUUGUCGAUGCAAGGACGCAAUGCGAAAGUCAAAAGGAGAAGCUGAAGUUCGAUCGCAUGUUAGAGGAUCACAAAAAAGGGUUGUACCCCAAUUGCGAAGAUGGCAACACAAAGCUCGGUACCGUACUGGAAUUGCUGCAGUGGAAGGCAGAGAAUGCUGUGCCUGACAAAGGAUUUGAGAAGCUAUUGAAAAUAUUGAAGAAGAAGUUUUCAAAGGAUAACGAAUUGCCCGACAGUACAUACGCAGCAAAGAAGGUCGUAUGCCCUCUAGGAUUGGAGGUGCAGAAGAUACAUGCAUGCCCUAAUGACUGCAUCCUCUACCGCGGUGCGUACAAGGAUCUGAACGCAUGCCCGGUAUGCGGUGCAUUGCGGUAUAAGAUCAGACGAGAUGACCCUGGUGAUGUUGACGGCGAGCCCCCCCAGGAAGAGGGUUCCUGCGAAGGUGAUGUGGUAUGCUCCUAUAAUACCACGGUUGAAACGUCUGUUCAGAAACGAAGAGCAUGCCAAGUUGAUGCGAUGGCACAGUGAGGACCGUAAGAAAGACGGGAAGUUGAGAGCACCCGCUGACGGGUCGCAGUGGAGAAAAAUCGAGAGAAAGUACUGGGCUGAGUUUGCAGCUGACCCAAGGAACGUAUGGUUUGGUUUAAGCGCGGAUGGCAUUAAUCCUUUUGGGGAGCAGAGCAGCAAUCACAGCACCUGGCCCGUGACUCUAUGUAUGUAUAACCUUCCUCCUUGGAUGUGCAUGAAGCGGAAGUUCAUUAUGAUGCCAGUUCUCAUCCAAGGCCCUAAGCAACCCGGCAACGACAUUGAUGUGUACCUAAGGCCAUUAGUUGAAGAACUUUUACAGCUGUGGAAUGAAAACGGUGUAUGUACGUGGGAUGAGCACAAACAAGAGGAAUUUAACCUGCACGCGUUGCUGUUUGUAACCAUCAACGAUUGGCCCGCUCUCAGUAACCUUUCAGGACAGACAAACAAGGGAUACCACGCAUGCACGCACUGUUUAGAUGACACUGAAAGUAUAUACCUGGACAAAUGCAGGAAGAAUGUGUACCUGGGCCAUCGUCGAUUUCUUCCGACCAACCAUCAAUGUCGAAAGAAAGGCAAGCAUUUCAAAGGCGAGGCAGAUCACCGGAAGAAGCCCGCCAUGCGUACCGGUGAUCACGUACUUGCUAUGGUCAAUGAUUUACACAUAAUCUUUGGAAAGGGUCCCGGCGGACUAGCUGUUCCGAAUGACGCUGAGGGACACGCACCCAUGUGGAAGAAGAAAUCUAUAUUUUGGGACCUACCCUACUGGAAAGACCUAGAGGUCCGCUCUUCAAUCGACGUGAUGCACGUGACGAAGAACCUUUGCGUGAACCUGCUAGGCUUCUUGGGCGUGUAUGGGAAGACAAAAGAUACACCUGAGGCACGGGAGGACCUGCAACGUUUGCACGAAAAAGACGGCAUGCCUCCGAAGCAGUAUGAAGGUCCUGCCAGCUACGCUCUUACGAAAGAAGAGAAAGAAAUCUUCUUUGAAUGCCUGCUCAGUAUGAAGGUCCCGACUGGCUUCUCGUCGAAUAUAAAGGGAAUAAUAAAUAUGCCAGAGAAAAAGUUCCAGAACCUAAAGUCUCAUGACUGCCACGUGAUUAUGACGCAACUGCUUUCGGUUGCAUUGAGGGGGCUUCUACCGGAAAACGUCCGAUUAGCCAUUGUGAAGCUAUGUGCAUUCCUCAAUGCAAUCUCUCAGAAGGUGAUCGAUCCAGAAAUCAUACCAAGGCUAAGGAGUGAUGUGGCGCAAUGUCUUGUCAGUUUCGAGCUGGUGUUCCCACCAUCCUUCUUCAAUAUCAUGACGCAUGUCCUAGUUCAUCUAGUCGACGAGAUUGUCAUUCUGGGGCCCGUAUUUCUACACAAUAUGUUCCCCUUUGAGAGGUUCAUGGGAGUCCUAAAGAAAUAUGUCCGUAACCGCGCUAGGCCAGAAGGAAGCAUCUCCAUGGGCCAUCAAACAGAGGAUGUCAUUGGGUUUUGUGUUGACUUCAUUCUUGGCCUUAAGAAGAUAGGUCUCCCUAAAUCGCGGUAUGAGGGGAGACUGACUGGAAAAGGCACGCUUGAAGGGGACUCAAUAAUAUGCAGGGACGAAUAUUCUUGGUCUCAAGCACACUACACAGUUCUACAGAACUCUACCUUGGUGACCCCGUAUGUCGAUGAACACAAGAAUAGUCUGCGCUCCAAACACCCGGAGCAGUGCGACGACUGGAUUACAUGUGAACACAUCAGGACUUUCAGCAGUUGGUUGGAAACACGUCUCAGAGGUGACAACACUGUUUGUGAUGAGCUGUACUCGUUGUUCAGGGGACCAUCUUUGACUGUAUUGACUUACAAAGGAUAUGAGAUAAAUGGGAAUACAUUUUACACGAUCGCCCAAGAUCAAAAGAGCACCAACCAAAACAGCGGUGUCCGCUUUGAUGCAGCAACCGAGAGGGGAAAGGACACAUAUUAUGGUUACAUAGUGGACAUAUGGGAACUUGACUACGGACAUGAUUUCAAGAUCCCUUUGUUUAAGUGCAAAUGGGUCAAUCUGUCAGGAGGCGGGGUACAGGUAGACCCACAGUACGGAAUGACAACAGUGGAUCUGAACAAUCUUGGGUACACUGACGAACCGUUCGUCCUAGCCAAUGAUGUGGCACAGGUUAUCUAUGUGAAGGACAUGUCUACCAGACCGAGAAAAAGAAAAGAUAAGGAAGCGAAUACAUCAUACGAUGAGCCAAAGCGCCACAUAGUUCUUUCAGGAAAAAGGGACAUCGUGGGAGUGGAGGGCAAGACAGACAUGUCUGAAGAUUAUGAAAAGUUUCAUGAAAUUCCUCCCUUCAAAGUCAAGGCUGGCCCAAGCAUCCUGAUAAACGAUGAAGAUUAUCCAUGGUUACGGCGCAAUAAGCAAAGGACACAAGCGAAGAAAAAGUGAAGACUUUCUCUCCACAACUAUUAUGAUGAUACCAUGCCAACUUUCAACCUUUUUGUAGUUCAUUUGAAAUGCCUGUUGUAACAGACGAGUUUCCGUAUGAAACCCUGAUAUCUCGAAACAGAUUGUCCAUUUUGUACACGAAGUGCAUCCAGUUUUUGCCGUAACCCUCUCAACUUUUUAGCACAUGCUAUGUGGGUGAAAUGAUGAUACCAUGCCAACUUUCAACCUUUUCAGAGUCCAUUUGUAGUGCUUUUCAAUUUAAGGGUCAUUUAUAGCUCAUGAACUAAUAGCAAAAAGAAUGAACUAAAAAUAAUCAAUUAAAAUAUGCUGUUAUGAUCAACUAAAACAAAACUAUAAUAUUCUUCAAUAGCCAAAAGAAUCAACUAAAAAGCUUUUAUAAAACUCCAAUAGCAAAAGGAAUCAACAAAAAAACUUUUAUAAACCUCUAGUAUUAUUGAAACUAAAAUUAUAUAAAAUUUAUGCAACUAAAAUUAUCAAAUCAUUUUCGUUUCAAAACAUUAAAAGCAAAAAGAAUUUUCAUAAAGAAUGUUUUUGUUAGAAACUUUAAUAGCAAAAAGCAUUAUCAUAGAGAUUUUUUUUGUUAGAAUCUAAAAUAACAAAAUCUGUUUUUGAAUAGAAUCAUAAAACACAGUAAUAUUAAAUAGCAGGAAAAAGAAUCACUCCAAAAUCUAUUUUUAUAGUAAAGUUAAUCACAAACUAGUGAUUCACACAAAUUUCAAAGAAUUCAAAUUUAAACUAUUCAAAUUUGAAAACUAAUGGCACUAACAGAAAGUUUAUAAUUUUUGUGACCUAAAAGCAAAAAGAAUUAAAAAAUAAACUUUAAUAAAAUAAAUAAAAUAGCAACAGUAAGUAUUUUGUUGUAAGUAGAAACAAAAUAAAAUAAAUAAAGCAACAAAGAAAAAAAACUGCCAUCUACUGGGCCACCACGGCCUGAAUACGACUAGAAACCCAACCAUGGGCCAGGAUUCAGGCCCGCAGGUGGCCCAGUAGGCCCACAGGCACACCGUGUACGGUUAGGCCCGAAAGCCUGCAAUUGAGAGGAGCUCGAGAGGGUGGGCGCAGCAGCGCUUAUAAACCACUCUCGAGCUCUCUCAACUAGCGAGGUGGGACUAAACUUUGGCCGCGACGCGGGCAGCACAUGUCCUUUGGUCCUAGUUGGUGGCACCAACCGGGACUAAAGGGGGCCUUUGGUCCCGGUUGGUGCCACGAACCGGUACCAAUGCCCCCCUUUAGUCCCGGUUGGUGCCACCAACCGGGACCAAAGGCCGCCGCUUCCCGCCCUUUGGGCUGCUGAAAAGAGGCCUUUGGUCCCGGUUGGUGGCACCAACCGGGACNNNNNNNNNNNNNNNNNNNNNNNNNNNNNNNNNNNNNNNNNNNNNNNNNNNNNNNNNNNNNNNNNNNNNNNNNNNNNNNNNNNNNNNNNNNNNNNNNNNNNNNNNNNNNNNNNNNNNNNNNNNNNNNNNNNNNNNNNNNNNNNNNNNNNNNNNNNNNNNNNNNNNNNNNNNNNNNNNNNNNNNNGUCUACGCCGCCGCCAACGCCGCCGCCUCCCCGAGCCCGCGCCGUCCUCGUCGCCGGCAUCCCUGAGCCCGCCGUCCUCGUCGUCCCCGUCGCCGCGUGUCUCCCCGAGCCCACCCCUCCUCGUCCCUGUCGCCGCCUGCCGUCUCGAGACCGCCGUCCCCGUCACCGCGUGCCGCCCCGAGCCCGCCGUCCUCGUCGCCGGACUCCUGCCAUCGCCGCCCCCCUCGAAGUGAGCCCCCCCUUUCCCAUGGUCCCGAUCGAGCACCGCUCUUGCGCCCGAGUGCCCCUUGCUCUCUGCCCCUGCUCCAUGGUCGCCGCCGGCCCCGACGCAUUGAAGAGCAGAAGGAUAGGAGAGGAGAAGGAGUGGAGCAGCAGCAAGACGCCGUCCAAUUUUCUGAAAUUUUUGAUUUUUUAAGGUAUGAACAGUGCAUAUAGAGGGUGUUUGAUCAAAUGCUAGAUGGCUUUGGGCAUUUUUACAGAUAUGAACAGUGCUAAAUAUGUCAAAAAAUGUUUUUUUGUUCAUAUACAGAAAGUUUUUAUAUAUGACUAUGGAUAUAUGAGCAACGAUGAUCCAUGGAUGUAUGCAUUGAUAUAUAUAUGAGAAACGAUGUUCAUAGAAUAUUUACCAAGUAGAGGAAGAAAGGAGAAGAAGAGGAGAGGAAGAAGAGGAGAAAUAAAUAAGAAGAAGAAAAAAGAAAAAAAAGAGGAGAAGAAGAAAGGAAUAGAGGAGAAGAAGAGAAAAUAGAAGAAAUGAAUAGAGGAGAAGAAGAAAGGAAUAGAGGAAGAAGAAAGGAAUAGAGGAAUUCUAUUUUCUCUUCUUCUCCUCUAUUCCUUUCUUCUUCUCCUCUUUUUUUUCCUUCUUUUUUUUCUUCAAUCUUCUCCUGUAUUAAUAUCUUCUUCUCCUCUUUUUCUCCUCUAUUAAUAUACCCCGUGUCCCGAUAACUUCAACACGAGGGGGGGGGGGUUCGACCUACCCCCUCCCCGAUAACAUUAUUUUCCCAUGUAUGUAUGUCGUCGUUGUCGAUAUAACCCCCUCCCGGAUAACUUCGACCGUGAUAACUUAUACCACGGGAGCACCCCCGGGCCCUCUCGCUCGACCAAAACUCUCGAGGACACCCAAACCCUAGAAAAAAACGAUGCCGGUCUCCUACCCCCUCCCGCCGCGCCCCUACCCUUGAAGCGUUGCCGAGGCCACCCCAAACCCGGAAUAAGCUAGGUCUACGUUUGCACUAAUAUAUCCACCUGCUGUCAUGUUUGUGUAAUAAUUGCCAUGUUGUAAUAUUUGCAGAAACAAUGGAGCACGGACGAGACGAGCAAGCAGAAGAGGUGUUGGGGGACAUAAUCUUAGCCGGAGGUGAUAUCUUGUCGUAUCUUAGCGACAAUGAUGGUCUGGAAGAACAGGGUGAAGAAGCAGGCUACGGCGAUCGAAGAGUGGAGGAGGAAAGACAUGAUUAUGAUGGCUCCGGUGACCCAAUGCUGGUGCAAGAAGGUGCCCGUGGUGACGGCUCCGGUGACCGAACAGAGUCCGGCCAGGUAAAUAUAUUAGUUAAGCCUGUGCUGACUAGCUAAUUGAUGCAUUCAUUGUUUUAGUAUGUACACAUAUUAAUUGACUCUCAUCUUCUUUUUUCUAGCCCUCCGGAUCGAGCACAACUGCGGUAAAGAGACGAGGCCCGAAGAGAAAGUUGCGCUCGGAUGAAUGGUUUGAGAUCACAGCAAUCGCGCGCGACGGCCAACCGAUUGAACCCAUCCGGACAAAGGAAGCAUUUGCUGCUCAGUGCGGGGUUCUUGUUAGGGACAAGAUCCCGAUCAGCAUCCACCAAUGGUAUAAGCCUAAGAAGGAAGACCCUGAGGUGUCUUAUGUCAAUGAUAUGCAGAAAGAUGAUCUUUGGACUGAGCUGAAGGCAAAUUUCACCCUACCGCCAGAGGAGGAUCCGGAGAAGCCAGUUAAAGAGCAAUUAAUCAAGUCUCAUGCUCUUAAGAAGAUGGCAGACCUAUUCAGGAGGUGGAAGAAUGAGCUGAAAACGUUUGUCGACAAAGAAGAGACACCGGAAUUCAUCGGCCGGUAUGAGAAGAUCAGAGAUCACUGGCCCGCAUUUGUGGCCCACAAGACAUCGGAAAAGAGUAAGAAGAUGUCAGCGACAAACAAGAAGAAUGCUGCGAAGAAGAAGCUUCACCAUUGCACGGGGUCAGGUGGCUACCUCAAAGCCCGCCCUUUGUGGGCCAAGGCUGAGAAUGAUCUGCUUGAUAAAGGGAUCGAACCACAGACAAUGAACUGGCCAGACCGUUGCCGGACUUGGUUCUUCGGGGCUGGCGGAAAAUUGGACCCUGUAUCAGGGAGGUGCGUUUGGACGAACGAGCUUUUGAUAAUACCAGUCAAGAAGAUUCAGCAAUAUAUCGAUGCAGCGCAGGAAGGGACGUUCGUUCCAGACAGAGAGAAUGACGAGCUCACAAUGGCCCUCGGGAAUCCUGAGCACCCUGGACGAACACGAGGCACGCCAGGCUCCGUUCCGUGGAAGGCUGGUUUUCCGGACGCAGGCGGUUACAAAAGCCAGGAGAGGAGGAAAAAAAUGGAGCAGACCCAAAUUCAGAAGCUGCACGAAAGGGUUCAAGCGCUAGAGGAACGAGACGGCAAUCGACCUGCCGAAACUACCCCCGAAGCUACCCCGCCAUCUCAGCGGAGAAGCAGCGUGGCUUCCACCGAGCUGCUUCAGCCAGAGCAUGUCUUGACGGCUCCUGCUAGCUACCCCGUGGAUGCUAUCACGGAGUCUCAACAUUGCCACCUUAUGGCGCAAUGGCAGAACUUCAAAGUCAAGGCGGCUGUUGGCUCUGUUUUACCUCCUGAACCCGGCGCAACCUACCACUGCCGGCCGAUUCCAGAAGGAUAUGCUAGGGUGAUGGUGGAUGAAAUAACGGAGGGAUUUGAGGACCUCCAGCUUGACCACCCUACCGGUGAAGGGGAGACUCGGCUGGGUUUAGCUCUGAAGACUCCAUGCCUAUGGCGGAAGGAGCUCAUUAACCUUCCGAACUGGACGCCUCCGGCGAGUAAGGGCACUCCGCCGCCUCCUCCUCCGGCGAGUGAUUAGGGCACUCAGCCUCCUUCUCCGGCGCGUGGCGGCACUCCGCCUCCUCCUCCGCCUCCUCCUCCGGCGAGUGAUCAGGGCACUCAGCCUCCUUCUCCGGCGCGUGGCGGCACUCCGCCUCCUUCUCCGCCUCGUCAGCAAGGGCGGAAGAGACCCGCCGCCGCUCCGGCUGCUCCGGCGCGUCGUAGUCCUUCUCCUCCGCCUCGUAAGCAAGGAAAGAAGACAGCUGCAGCCACUCCGUCUGCUCUGCCGGCGUCUAGCAGUACAGCUGCCAGAGGCGGGAGGCAAUACAGAUUCGGUCCUUCUCUGAAGACUCCAGAGAAGUUACCAUACGAGAGGACCGAGGAGGAAACCACGAAGAUCGUGCGAGCCGAAGUGACGAACUUCUUUGAAGGGGUGAAAGCAAAGAAACAUCCACCUCCGGAGGAGAAGGUAGAUCCGGUGAAAGCAAAGCGCACUCUGGCUGCCCUGACAAAACCACCAAAGUCUCCGCCGAGAGGCAACUAUGAGCGCAUUCUUGCAAAGACAUAUGCCGAAGCGGAGCGGUCGGGAAGUACUGUCAGUGAUCAAAGGUUAAAAGAACGAUGAGCUGGGAAAAAAAUUGCCCAGCUCGGCGAACAAGCGAACCAAUCGUGCCCCCCGCUCAAGGAGUCUAGCGACAUCGUCGCUAAUGAUCCGAGGAUGGUGCCCGGUUAUAGCAAUCUUGGAGAUUACCUGCCCGACGAUGUACAUUAUGAAAUCAUGGAGGUGGACGAACACAAAUACCAUUACGGGAAGCCUCUCGUCAAAGAUGAAAGAUCUCUAACAACGAUGAUGCGAAGAUUACAUGAUUGGUACAUGAAAACCUGCAGAGAGUCUGAUGGGAUGAAUACUUUGACGCUGAGAGUUAAACCGGAGCAUGACCUCGUUGGAAUUGAACUGCUGAAUGUUCCAUUUGAGGAGUUCUUCCAGUUUUUCAAUCAAAUGGCCCUCGAUAAAUCAACGCUCACUUGCUACUGUCUGUAAGUAGUACUACUUCUGUCAUUAAGUCUCUCUAUAUAGGUCAGCUCUUUCAUUGCAUGUAUUUAUAAUUAUCCUCACUAUAUUAUGCAGAUUGAAGAUCGCCGAAUUAAAGAAAAGACAAAUCGGUGAUAUUGGGUUCAUUAACACAAAUCUCAUAGAUGCAACUCAGGUUAAAUAUCAUGCCGAAGAUACUGAGGCCAACUUGCUACGAUCGUUGGUCAUAAAUGAAAACAAAGAUAUAAUACUCUUUCCUUACAACUUCAAGUGAGUGUUACUGUCUUGUGCAUAUUCGGUUUCCCUUAUUAGUCCAGGUUAUGGUAAUGUAAUUGAUGACUUAUGCAUGCAUGCGCAGCUUCCACUAUAUUCUCCUAGAGAUUAAGCUUGAGCAGGGAGUAGUAACCGUCUUAGACUCGAGACGAAAAGAUCCCCAGGACUAUGCGGACAUGACUCAAAUGCUCGAGAAGUAAGUUAAAUCGAUCAUUAUCCACCAUAUCAGCAACUUUGUUCAUUUACUGAUAUCAAGUAAUUGUUUUCUUUGUCUGGCAGGGUUUGGAGAAAAUUCACCAAAAACGCUCCAGGACUGCCGAAGAAGCUGCAAUUUAGACACCCGAAAGUAAGUACUAUAGUAGCAUGUUCCGCGCAUCUCCUAGUGAUUCAAGCGCUAGUUUCAUCAAUACCAUUUAGCAUGCUUGCUUAUCAGUUUGAUUGACCUCUAUUUCUUGUAAAGUGGUUGUGGCAGGAACAAGGGAAUGAUUUCUGUGGAUACUACGUUUGCGAGUCCAUCCGCCACACGACCUGUGAGCGGAGCUACUCUGACGAACAAUAUGAAGUGCGUAAGCAAUAAUAUUCACAAUUUUAUUUUAUUACCAUCAUUUGUGUCGAGUUUCAUUUAUUCAUAUAUAUAUAUGUAUGUAUUGACCCCCUUCUUCAAAUUAGAUCUUUCGGAUGCGGGAUGAACUCCUAGCACCAGAUCGUAUGCGAGCAAUUCAAGAGGAAUUGGCGGCAUUCUUCCUUGACCACGUGAUCGCUGAAAACGGAGAAUCUAUGUGGACCCUGUGUUCUUACAAUUUAAUUAGGAGAUUAUAUUAUAAGAGAUAAUUAUUGUAUAUAUGUAGCCGGUAGUGUCAGAUAGAUAUACGAGAACUUGUUGUUCGACCAAUCUCUCGGAGAAGGAGAGGUGGUCGAUAUCACUUCUCUCUGUAUGCAUAUGUUCAUGACGAUCUUCUGUUUCUUUCAUUUGCUUACUAGCUAGCGUGUCUAGUCCCCUCAUACGUAUAUAGUACGUAGCGUCGACCAAGCACGGAGAUAAGAGAGGACACUUCUCUCUAUUAAUUAGCUAGCUAACACAAUAUAUGAAACACCUAAAUUAACCCCCAAAAACCCCCACCCCCCUUAAAAAAACAAAAACCCCAGCCCCUGAAAUGCUGACGCGUGGAUGCCUAUUGGUCCCGGUUUUUUGCCACCAACCGGGACCAAAGGCCCUGCCUAUUGGUCCCGGUUGGUGUCACCAACCGGGACCAAAGGCCCCCCGGCCUGGGCUGGCCGCAGCGGCCACGUGGAGGACCUUCUGUCCCGGUUCGUGUAAGAACCGGGACUAAAGGGUUAGGGCAUUAGUAACGACCCUUUAGUCCCGGUUCGAAAACCGGGAAAAAGGCCCUUAUCAACUGGGACAAUAGGCCCUUUUUCUACCAGUGCUGUGAAUCAUGCUUGCUCAUACAGACAGAAAUCAGAAGAAUGUUGUGAUAAAUAGCUAGCAAUAGUUGUUCAUGGGGCCGUCACGUAUGGUCGUAUGUACAUUUGCACGCACGUGCAAGCUUAAUUCUGAAGAAAUGUACUCAACACAGAUAUAUUGUGCCGUUACCAGAACUCUGAUUGUAAUGCUCGGAAUAAGCUAUCAUCAAUAUUGUAUAAUUUAAGCCCUGCAAAAAAAAUAUUGUAUAAUUGAAGUCCAGAGAGUCUAAGGAAAAUCUGACAGGCAUCAAGCUUUCUGUCGGACUCACCCUUUUGGGUUCAAGUCUUCAAGAUGUCCUUUGAGUGUUUUUCAGAUAAAGAUGUUGAGUGUGAGAUACCAGAACUUGAGAAAAUAAGAGCGUGACUUUUGAGGAAACAUAAAGUAUGAUUAGCAUGUGCCAUGUUCAUCUGGUCCCAUGACGAUGACGGCAGAAUGAUUACUGGGUGUAGUAUCAAAUGUAUGCGAUGAUACCAUUCAGUAAUCAACUUAUCAUCAAAAUAUCCCUUCAAUAGACAUGGGAAUAGCGUGAGUUAUCUGUAGCCUGGUGCUUCCUGUUGGUUAUAUCUUCUUAACGUUGUGCUUACAGUCCUGCAUUGCAUAAAUAUGAUUGCAGAGUCCCGGCCGGUUGGAAUGCUACAGGCAAGAGAUAUGAUUACUGAAGGCUGAGGCACAACGUACCUUGUCCUCUAGUCAUCAGGAUCAAAGCUUUGGAGAUAUAUCAGGUGAAUAUUGUUGAAGUAUACGUGGAUUGCAUCCGCCACCAAAUUACUCCCUCCGUUCCUAAAUAUAAGUAUUUCUAAAGAUUCUAAUAUGGACUACAUACGAAGCAAAAUGAGUGAAUUUACACUCUAAAAUACGCCUAUAUACAUCCGUAUGUAGUCCAUAUUAAUAAUUUUUUUAAAAGGGCUUGUAAUUAGAAACACAGGGAGUACUUUUUUAAGAUGGAAGACUUUCGCCCUACUUUAUUAGGAAAGCAAGCAGUAUAUUGUUGCUCGGUUUAAGCAAACUGAGCAGAUAGUGUUGCUCGGUUGUGUGCGCUGAAAAUUGCUAGCAGACAGGCAACUAACGUCAUAUUGCGACGAACAUGUUCAUGGUUCUGUCGGGUCCCUUGAAAGCUCAAUAAGCUGACAGAUUCGGUCCCAACCAUGGGGAUGUGACCAAUGUUUCAAAUAGCGGGCUAUGGAAAAUAGCGGCGGGCCUCCAAAUCAGCUAUAGCGGAGCUAUAACGGGCUAUUUGUGAAGGCGACCAUUUAGCGGCACCUGCUGAAAAGGCGACUAUUUAAAACUAUGGAUGUGACCAAUCCUAACGGUAUGCAAUCAUGGACAGGAACAGCGAAAAUCAUCUUUUGAUGAACAUGUGUCGAUCCACAUCUAACAGAAAUCGCUUUGGCUUUGCAGGGAUUCCCUUUGCUGGAGAGAAACGUCCAACCACCAACAUCUCAAUAUCUACACCACUGUGCUAUAUCUGUACUACUACUGUUCCAGCCCUUAUCCGCUGCUGCCUAGUCGCUCGGCAACUCAAUAUCUACACUACUGUACUAUAUUUAUCCGCGUGUAAAGCUGUAGUUGAUGUGUGCCCACUCCUGUAAGAUAUCCUCGUACUUCCUUUUCCGUGUCCAAAUCAAUGAACGCUCUGCGUUAUCCGCUCGAACUCAUGUAUGGUGCCGUUGCAUCAGCAGCUGUCCAUUUUAGAUUCACGUCAUUGCGAAUCGGAUAAUAUCUGUUACUACUGGGCUAAAAUCUCCCCACGAGUGAGCUCGAGACUCUUGACUUGUCACCCAUCCCACUUGCGUCCUUAAGUACGAUCAUUGCCUCUUGCUUCUUGAGUCUCUGCUCCUCAAUCUCUGCCUUCCGUUCCUCAAUAUAUGCCAUGCGUGCCAAAUUGGCUGCAUGGAGUCACACUUCCAUCCUAUUUUGAAAUCAACGCGAAUACGAAUACAUGUGUUGUUGAAUAUGGAUGGCGUGGAUAUUGCUUUAGUACAUGUCAUAUAUUUAAAUAAUUUGAAACGGAUACUGACAUAAGAAACUUUAAUGACGAAUUAGAUAAAACAAACAAAUUGGUAGGUGCAUGACACAAGAUAAUAGGCCCAUGGCAUAUUAGAAAUAAAUGAUAGACCAGUAUACAACAAUGAUAGACUCAUCAACAUCAAGGUCUUCCUCAUUAUCAAGCUCUAGCAGAUAGAGGAUAAACCCCGGCCUCUGCACCAUCAUGAUGCACACAACCAGAUGUAGUUUGCAUGUUAAUGCCAACCAAUGGCAUUGUUUUUUUUAUUUGUACGCUACAUGUAGCCGGUUCUAGAGUGCUCCAAAGGCAAUGGCUUGUACGUUAAUACCAAUCAAUUGGCAAUUGCAUCACUUUUUCACUUGUGCGCUAGCACUAGGCACACGUACAAAGAUCUAGAGUGCUCUAUAGGUGGUGAUGGUUUGUACGUUAAUGCCGAUCAAAAUAUACGCCAAUUGCAUUGCUUUUUCACCUACGUGCUAGCACUAUGUACACGUACACAGAUCUAGAAUACUCUAUAGGCAGGGUUUGUUGUGCUACUUUAAUGCCAAUCAAAUACUUUCCAAAUGGAUUGCUUAAUCACUUGUGUUGGUGUCCAUCUAACGGCGCACAUCCACACCAAAUAGACAUAUGAGACUAUAAAUUACCAUUGGCUGAGCUGAGCCCAUGCCACAACCAACUACAUUGAUAUUCGACAAAGACUCAUAAUUAACCCAAAGAGAGCAGCCCUAGCAAGCCAUGUCACCCACAAAGAGAUUCAUUGCUACUAUCAUGGUGAUGGUGCUCGUGGUAUCACUUGAAGCCACCGUUGAUGGAGGCCCCAUGUUCCCCGAUGUAGUGGGCCCUUGUCUAGAUGGCUAUUUAUAUGUAUGUUUUAAGGGUCCAUUUUUUUGCGAGUGCGAGCCGGAGAGCAAUUUUCGACUAGUGGAUCACCAAAACAUGGUGGUGAGGUCCAAGAAGAGCAGCCAUAUCCAGUCCCGACAUACCAUUGCGGAUGUGGUGCCAUUUGGCCUUUGAGCCAUGUCAGAAAUUAUCAAUAUUCUGUCGGCGCAUAGAAGAAGGGGGACAACAAGCUAGAGCGCUGAUUCCAGUGCAAUGAUCUGUGUCAGACAAGUUUGCGAGUAGCUAGCUCAUGCGUGUACUAGCAUAUAUAGCAAUAAGGGCCAUACGACACCUCUAUACACAUGAAAGUAUGCCACCUGAUCUUAGUUUGUUGUUGUUCCAAGUUAUCAGAAGGGUGGUACUGAUGCUACUCAUGUUGUUGUAAGGCUUACUCCUAUUCUAAUGAAUAAGAUUUACUCCUUGGGCUACACAACUCAUGCAUUCUUCUACAAACAAUUAUGAAAACUGAUUUGCGAAUGAUAGCAAUCACAAAGUUUGGCAUGCCGUCUUCGGGUUACAGUACCCUUUUAGCAACAUAAGUCUAGUACCAUCAAAAUCAUUCGCUAUACAUUUGCGCUUAUCUAUUGGUUUGUCUUCGCUUCUGGACUAUCUUCAGAGUGCUGGGAAGAGAACAUCUAGAGCAGCAUACAUACACUGGUCACUUGGUAGUUUAUCGUUUCCACUUCAUCUGAAAUUAAGAUAGAUUAGUUAGUUUCUAUUGUCGCAGGAAAAUAUGGAAUACUGCUGCCAUAUCUAACCAUGAACGUACCUGCAUCUUCUCAAUAAGUUGACGGAUUCACGGGGAUGGAGCCAAGUUCAUGCGUCUCCGUUUCCGGCCAUAUUGGGGCACGCCGGCGAUAGGUUGGAGCUUUGCGACACCGAAGAAACCCGCCAUUUCCGAUGCCAACGACAGAGGAAAAGGUGGUGGAGACGGUGGGCGGGGGUGGUCUGAUUCCGGCGGCGUGGCUUGUGGUCGAGAGGGGCGAGCUGGCUGCUUAAAUUUUCUGAGAGUUGCCCUUCUUGAAGCAAAGAAAAAAAAACUAGGGGUGGCUUUUCGGGGAUGGGAGAUUAUAAUUUUAAAGAACUAAAAGUUUAAGGGAUUUGCUAGAUAGAGGUUAAUUCCCUAAACUAGAAAAUCUCUCCCUAAAUAUAAAUUUUGGGGAUCUGCUGGAGAUGCUCUAACAUAACCCUGAAAACUUAAACUUUUACGUCACUCAGUAACAAGAUCAUUAUCCAAAAAUUCAUUCACUAGAUGCUAACCUUUACUCCUCGUCCAAUGGCAGUAUAGUUGGAUCCAUUUAGCGAUUAUUCAUAUCAUCCAAAUCCAACUCAAAGAGAUCAGAGCUAGUGUCGCUGCCCCAACCAUCGCCAUCUUCCACCUGAUGGCCAUCGCUUAAUUUCGCAUCAACAAUAAUCUUCUCAUGGUCAUCUUCCGCCUUUUCCACCUGCUGAUCAUCACUUGAUUUUGCGCCAGCAAUCUUCUCAUGGGCCAUAUGGUGCUGCUCUUCCAAAGCAUGCCCGCCACAUGUCACCACCCACCUCUCCUCGUCGCCAUUGCCUCCCCUCACUACCCGAACGCCUUGCAGCCUCCUAUCCCCCACCACCACACCCAAAUCAUGAUCGCAAGCAGCAGCACAAGAGGACGACGAGACCUGGUGCGGCUCGUCGUGGACCCCCGGCGGAUUCUUUCGAAAGCUCGCCGCCGACGACACAAGGGAGCCGAAGAAGGCAGCGAGGUUGUUGUUGGUCUUGGCUCCCAGCUCCUGGGUGCUGCGGUAGCUUUCCUCCUGGUGAUGCAUAGGCCACCUGACAGUGACCGGGCCGGCAGCAAGGUCGGCGAGGCCGUCGAAGUAGCGCGUCGCUCCGAAUACGUCGAGUUCGCUGGAGCUGCCAUACUGAGCGCAGCGCUGCAUGGCCAAUGUUUGAGAUGGCCGGAGAAGUACUACUUCAUGUGGUGUUACACGUUGAUUGUAACGAAGUUGUGGAGGAGGUGAGGAGAUUUUAUGUUGGUGGGUUGGACUUCAUGGGAAUGAAUUAAUGGGGGCGGCAGGAUAGAUAGUGCAUCCAAUCCAAUGUCAUGUGUCAAGAAAGGUGUGGGUUUCAAUGAAUGAAAGUGGAGUAGAAUCUCAUGAUUUGUUGUCUGGCGUAUGGAUGUAGGAGUGUACUUUGGUUGUCCAUGCCUACUCCACUCCACCUGCAUGUGAAUUCUUGCUUGCUCAUUAAAGAUGGGAACUAAAUUUCGAUGACCAGAAGAAUGUUGUAAUUAAUAGCUAGCAAAUGUUGUUCAUGGGGCCGUCACGGUCCUAUGCACGCUUUGCACACACGUACGUGUAAAGCGUAACUCUGAAGAAAUCAGCCAUAUUUUUCAUUCUUGUAGGAAACACUGCAGAUGCAGAGGCUAGGUGUAAUUGGUAUCUUCGCAAUAUUAAUAUAUUCUCCUUUUUUUUUUAAAAAAGAAGGAAACACUGCAGUGACCGAAACUGGCACAAACUAUUGACAAAUCAGCGCCCAACUUACCACAAGCUGAGGCGACUGGCAGGAGAUGCCCACGUAUAUCAUCUCCUGUGAUGCCAAAUGCAGUCGACAGUCGUCGCAGAUUUCGGCUCUAGGAACAUUCGUAAAGCUAGCUAGCUGGUGAACACAACAACGGUCCAAAAUCCAGUCUGUGGCAAAUUAGUCUAGGCAUAUGCGGAUGUGAAACUCCCUCCGAUCCAUAUUACUUGUCUUACAUUUGUCUACAUCUGUAUCUAGAUAAAUCUAAGACAAGUACUCCUGUAUGGAUCUGAGGGAAUAAGAGUAUAACAGUGCUGAGAUGUAAAUUCCUAUUCUGCCUGAGCAGUCGAGUCAUGUUGUCAGCGAAAUUUCAUGUAUGUGAAUACUGUGCAGGUCUCCAAAAUCUCUUGAGAAUUGCUACAGGUACAAGUAAUUUCGAAUUUCAAUAAUGGCAAAUUUUAACAUGCUUCCUCUUACCUCCUCUUUUCACAUGGAAGGUAAGAGUACAUAAUAGACCUGAGCCAUUGUUGAUUACUCCAUGUGAAAAAGGAUUAACUCUUCUUCUGGUAGCUUAAGUAGCAUUUAGCAAAAGAGAUUCAGUACUUUCGGAACUACUUUGAACUUCUGAGCCUGAAGAUCACCACCCAAAAUAGAUUUAGAAUAGCAGCUUGUUGCACUUAAGUAUCCACACACCAACUUAGCUCCCCUCGAGUAUCAUAUCCAUUCGCGUUUGCGUGCCGAAUUAGCUGCCCUGGAGGCCACAAACCAAAAGAGAUUUAUAUUAAUGGUUGUAGGCAUCUUUUGUUUCGGAAUUACUGUUGCAAGUGUAGCAAACGUUUUCCUUUUAUCACACUUAAGCUAGCUAGGUUAACAGGCUAUUGGUUUGAUCUAACAACCUAACUGGCCAAAAGAAUAACGUUAAGGGGAGGGGUCACGUACGUACUAACGUGUGUGCCCUCUCGAUGCUAAGAAAAAGGGUUUUCCCCGCUUUGUAUUACAAAGCAACUAUCCGAUACAACCAACAAUAGGGGCCGGGGCGGAAGCAGCACAAACACGCCCAAAAGAAAGGAAAGAGAACAAAAGAAAAGAAACAAAUGCCCAUAACGGCGGAUCCACAAAAACGACGAAGCCUCAUGACCGCUGCGUCCACUGGAAGUCGCCCACCAAGCUCCGAGACUCCGAAGCGCCGGUACUAAUCAACACCUCCAAGAAGGGACGCGACGAUGACGACGCUGCUGCCAAGGGUUUCCCCCGGUACGUGGCGAGGAGAGAGGAAGGGUAGCCCCGACGCCCUCCAGGAAGGUCCGGAGGCACCCUCAGGCGCCACCGCUCGGUGUCGGCCAAGCCAACAGGGAUUUCUCCCGAUCCCAGCCUCUACCUCAGGCACUUCGAAGCUCGCCACCAAACCGACCACCACCCUGCGCCAACACGGACACGAAGCUUCCCACGCUGUCUCACCACGGCACCGCGAAGAUGGUCUGCACAACGAAGAACAGGAGCCGGGACUAGGGCAGCAACACCGUCGGCAAACGGGAGGGCCCCACCUCCACCGUCCACGACGGUAGCCGACCGGACGCCAUAGCAGGAGCCUACCGGGCCCGUGGCCCAAUAGGCCCGGCCGGGCCCUCCAAGGCCCGGACAGCUCCGCCUCCGCACAGCAGCUGGCACGCCGUCGGCGCCGCUGUCCCAGUCCAAGCCGCUCCCCUGCCUCCCCAUACAGAGAGCUUCGCGGUCGCGUCGGAGCCGACCCGCAAGGACCCAGAAGGGACCCUACGGGCCCAGAUCUGGGCCGGGGACGUGCCACCGGCCGGCUGAAAGUGCGUUAUAUCGACUAGAGGGAGGGGGGUGAAUAGGCGAUUUUUAUGAAUUCUUCACUGAGGAAUUUGCGGGUGAGGAAAUUCCUUAGCGAAGAACUACUUGCAGCGGAAUAAGUACUCAAAAGUAAACAUAGCAGAACACAAGCAUGGUCAUCAUGAUGAAAUGAAGACAAGCACAGAGUACAGAAAGCGUAAACACAGGAUAACACAGGAUGAAGACAAACAAACUGAAGAAAUUGAAUUGAGGAAAUUGAGAAAGUCUUCAGUCAAAGUCUUCAAACAGAUAUGAACAAGCACACAACAACUGUAAUGAGGAAAUGAAAGAGUUGAGAAAAUAUAACCAGUAAGCUUGGUGAAGACAAUGAUUUGGUAGACCAGUUCCAACUGCUGUCUCAGUUGUACAUCUGGUUGGCGGCUAGGUAUUUAAACCUGAGGACACACAGUCCCAGACACACAGUCCUCACCGUAUUCUCCUUGAGCUAAGGUCACACAGACCUCGCCCAAUCACUCGUGGUAAGUCUUCAGGUGACUUCCGAACCUUCACAAACUCGGUCACUUGGCGAUCCAUAAUUCCUCUUGGAUGCUCUAGACCAUGACGCCUAACCGUCUGGAAGAAGCACAGUCUUCAAAGGUAACAAGCGUCGGAUCCACGCAGGAUCAAUCUCUUCAGUGAUGCUCAAUCACUUUGGGUUUGUAGGUGUUUGGGUUUGGGUUUUCCUCACUCGAUGAUUUUCUUUCAAAGUCCUCGGAGGAUGGGAUGCUCUCAAAUGACAAGUGUCAGUUUCUCUCAGAGCAGCCAACCAGCUAGUGGUUGUAGGGGGCGGCUAUUUAUAGCCUAGGGAGCAACCCGACAUGAUAAGACAUAAAUGCCCUUCAAUGAUAUGACCGUUAGGUGGGUAGAUAUUUUGGGACAGCUGGCGCAUAGCACAGCAAUGGUCGGAAAUUUGAGGUUCAAAUUCCUCAGGGCUAUCAUGUUCCUCACUGUGUAGGCAAUCCGCAUUGCCUCAAGUCUAGCAACAGGUGCAAAAGUUUCAUCGAAAUCAAUUCCUUCAACCUGUGUGUAGCCCUGAGCUACAAGCCCUGCCUUAUUCCUCACCACAAGGCCAUUUUUAUCUUGCUUGUUGCGUUAGAUCCACUUUGUGCCAAUGAUAUUGUGCUUGCGAGGAUCUAGACGUUUAACCAGUUCCCAGACGUUGUUGAGCUCGAACUGAUGUAAUUCUUCUUGCAUGGCCUGAAUCCACUCAGGCUCCAGAAAUGCUUCAUCUACCUUAGUGGGCUCUGUGAUAGAGACAAAAGCAUAGUGCCCACAAAAGUUAGAUAAAUGUGAAGCUUUUGAGCAUGUGAGAGGACCUGGUACUUCAAUGUCAUCGAUGAUCUUUUCAACUUGCACUUCUUUUGCAACGCGAGGAUGAGCUGGUUGUCGUCGAGGAAUUUGAUCAACAUUUUCUUUAAGACCAUUUUCUUUAGCAUUUUCUUCAGGUGCAUUAGCUCGACGUUCUUCACGUUCUGGAAUGAAUUCUUCAGCAGAUUCUUCGGUAGGAAUGACAUCCUCGGUAGCCUUGAACUUGAUGGUUUCCUCAGGAGCUGGUUCAUCUAUCACAGAAGGUAGGUGCUCUCUUUGCGAGCCAUUAGUUUCAUCGAACCGCACACCUACAGUUUCAACAACCUUGUGAAGAACGUUGUUGAAGACUCAGUAGGUGUGCGAGUCCUUUCCGUAACCAAGCAUAAAACCUUAAUGUGCUUUCGGUGCAAAUUUAGAGUUGUGAUGAGGAUCUCUAAUCCAACAUUUAGCACCGAAGACUUUGAAAUAACUCACAUUGGGUUUCUUGUCAGUGAGGAGUUCAUAGGCAGUCUUCUUGAAGAAUUUGUGAAGAUAUACCCUGUUGAUGAUGUGGCACGCAGUAUAAAUUGCCUCAAUCCAGAAGUGACGAGGCGUCUUGUACUCAUCAAGCAUAGUGCGAGCCAUCUCAACAAGAGUUUUGUUCUUGCGCUCCACGACGCCAUUCUGCUGAGGAGUAUAAGGAGCAGAUAACUCAUGAGUAAUACCAAGUUCAUCAAGACCAGAAUUCUUAAACUCAGUUCCAUUGUCACUUCUGAUGUGCUUGAUCUUCACACCAAAGUUGGUUUAAGCCCUCGAGGAAAAUCGUUUGAAGACUUCCUGCACUUCAUGUUUGUAAGUAACAAUGUGUACCCAUGUGUAUCGAGAGUAAUCAUCAACAAUAACAAAGCCAUAAAGAGAUGCGUCAUUUGUGAGUGCUGAGUAAUGAUUAGGACCAAAGAGGUCCAUGUGAAGCAAUUCGAAUGGUCGAGUAGUGGUCAUGAUUGUCUUCGCUGGAUGCUUAGCCUUUGUCAUCUUCCCAACUUCACAGGCUCCACAUAAGUGAUCCUUGAGGAAUUUGACAUUUUCAAUGCCAAUGACAUGCUUCUUCUUCGCAAGCGUGUGCAAAUUCCUCAUGCCUGCAUGACCAAGUCGUCGAUGCCAUAGCCAGCCUUCUGAAGCUUUUCCAAGUAGGCACACGGCUAGUUGCGGUCCUGUAGAGAAAUCAACAAUAUACAAGUCUCCUCUCCUAAAGCCUUCGAAGACUUUGGAAUUGUCAGCUUUCAUAACCACAACACAACGAUACUUGCCAAAGACAACAACCAUAUCAAGAUCACAAAGCAUUGAGACAGACAUGAGGUUGUAUCCUAAGGACUCGACAAGCAUGACUUUGUCCAUGUGUCGAUCCUUUGUGAUCGCAACCUUACCUAGACCCAAUACCUGACUUUUGCCUUUGUCAGCGAAGAUGAUAUGCUUUAGAUGAGAUGGAGAUAAGGGAGCAUCCAUCAAUAGAUUCUUGUCACCAGUCAUGUGAUUUGUACAUCCACUAUCGAGGACCCACUCAGUGGCUUUGGGUUGAUCAUCCUGCAGAUGAAUUAGUGCAGCUUACGAACUCAUAUACUUCAUCAGUGAAGAAUAUGACAUCAAUUCAUCAGAUCAAUUUCAUCAAGUAAUAGAACAGAUAAAGCAGUAUGAGGACGUGAGAAAUGAAAGUUCAUUUCUUCAUGAUUAGCCUGCGUCCUUUCAGGCAUUUUUCAUGUCUCCAGCAAAUUCUUCAGACGUUCACACACGUCUGGAGACCUGACCCUGCAGAAGAGAUUAGUUCUUUUUCUUCACCACCCACAUCUGAAGGGGUGGCAAAGAGUUCAUCACUCUGCGAGCUCCAUACGAGAAAGGUGGCAUAGAAGCCAAUCCAUUUCGUUUCACAUAAGAGGAGUUAGGGUAAGCAUAUGAAUAAGCAGAGAAAUUCUUCGAGGACAUAUGAACAUAAUGAUUAGAAGAAUAAUGCUCAUAUUCAUAGCCCUUAGCUCUUCCCUGCGACACAGAGUUGUUAGCACGAUGAUAAUCAUAUGAGAACUUUGAUCCUUUUGAGGAAUAUGAUCCACGUGAGGAAUUCGGUCCGUAUGAGGACUUGGAUCCAUGAGAAGAAUUUGGUCCAUAUGAAGAAUUUGAUCUGGGGUUCCUAUUCUUCACAGGUGGUGUCAUGAGGACAUUCACCUGAAGACUUUCAAGGCACCUUUUGGGAACCCAUAUUUUCUUCAUAGGGGAACCGUUCCUGCAGUUAGUGCCAACAUAUCUAGCAAAUACUUCACCAUUCUGAUUUUUGAACAGUUUAUAGUUGGAGUCAAAUGACUCAUCAGAAGAAUGAGAAGAUUCACAUGUAAAGCCAGAUAGAUUAGAUGGAUCAACUGGAGGUCCCUUUGCAGCAACCCAUGAGGUUUUGGGUUACUGCUCAGGCUUUCAAUAUGUACCAUCCACAUUGGGUUUCCUCUCAAAGGCAAUACCCUCUUUCCUAGGGUUCCUGUUGAGGAUCUGCUUUUUAAGCACAUCACAAAGAGUCGGAUGCCCUUUGAGGCUUUUGUACAUGCCUGUCAUGUACAAUUCCUUCAGCCCUGCAUCAUCAGUGAUACUAGCAAUGUCCUCAGAUGAGGAAUUAGUGAUAGCAGAGACAGGUGAAGAAUUUGUAACAUUAGAAGCAUUUGAACAUUCAGGUGAAGAAUUAGCAGAUUCACGUUCAAUGCAUUUCAAACAUGGAGGAACAAAUUCUUCCGGAGUAGCGCUGAUUUGUUGAGCAAGUAAUGAAUCACGCUCCUUCUGAAGAUCUUCAUAACUCACUCUUAGCUUCUCAAGAUCUUGCUUUCUUUGAAGAAAUUCAUAAGAAAGCUUCUCAUGAUCAGAUAAGAGAGUGUUAUGUUGAUCUUGAAGGGUGUCAUACUUAGUAUGAAAUCUCUGAAGACUUUCAGCCAAAGCUUUUGACUGAUCCAUUUCUUCACCCAACAUAUCAUCGCUCCUAUUUAGCAUGUAUUGAACUUUUUCCAAAGCUCUUUGUUGUUUAGUGGCAAGGGAAGCAAGUUUGACAUAGCUGGGUCCAAAUUCAUCACCAGAUUCAUCAUCACUAGACUCUGAUAGGUAGCAUUCAGUUACCUCAACACUUUUUGUCAUAAGGCAUGAUGAAGAGGAUGAUGAUUCUGGUUCGAAUGUCAUCGCUUUGAGAGAUUCCUUGAAGUUCUCAAACCAAGGAUCAUGACGGGUUCGAUGACCUUCAUAGACCUCAGAGAGACGGUCCUAGAUAAGCUUCGCAUGAUCGAGAUGCAUGAUGUUCCUGAACUGAUUUUGAGACAGACAGGAGCAGAUGACGUCUUUCGCCGUGAGGUUGAGAAGAGUGUACUUGCGAAUGUCAUCAGCUUCCGCCAUCUUGCACAGAUCGGUAAGACCAAUCUCAGUGACGGUCCACAGUUCGUUGUUCAUCGCCAUGAGGUGCUUCUUCAUCAUGGCCUUCCACUUGGGAUACCCGUGACCGUCAAAGAUGGGGCAUGACACAGUCUUCAUUCCUGUGGUCGACAUAACUAAAACUCCAGGCGGUUAAACCAAAAUCACACAGAACAAGGGAGUACCUUGCUCUAAUACCAAUUGAAAGUGCGUUAUAUCGACUAGAGGGGGGGUGAAUAGGCGAUUUUUAUGAAUUCUUCACUGAAGAAUUUGCGGGUGAGGAAAUUCCUUAGCGAAGAACUACUUGCAGCGGAAUAAGUAUCAAAAGUAAACAUAGCAUAACACAAGCAUGGUCAUCAUGAUGAAAUGAAGACAAGCACGGACACGAAGCUUCCCACGCUGUCUCACCACGGCACCGCGAAGAUGGUCUGCACAACGAAGAACAGGAGCCGGGACUAGGGCAGCAGCACCGUUGGCAAANNNNNNNNNNNNNNNNNNNNNNNNNNNNNNNNNNNNNNNNNNNNNNNNNNNNNNNNNNNNNNNNNNNNNNNNNNNNNNNNNNNNNNNNNNNNNNNNNNNNNNNNNNNNNNNNNNNNNNNNNNNNNNNNNNNNNNNNNNNNNNNNNNNNNNNNNNNNNNNNNNNNNNNNNNNNNNNNNNACCGGCCCCGUGGCCCCACAGGCCCGGCCGGGCCCUCCAAGGCCCGGACAGCUCCCGCCUCCGCGCAGCAGCUGGCACGCCGUCGGCGCCGCUAUCCCAGAUGAAGCCGCUCCCCUGCCUCCCCAUACAGAGAGCUUCGCGGUCGCGCCGGAGCCGACCCGCAAGGACCCAGAAGGGACCCUACGGGCCCUGAUUGUAGGCGAACGCAGCAGAAAACAAAAAUUUCCUGACCUACGCACCAGCCCAGGACCACUACGGAGACUGCAUACAAGGUUUGAUCUUUUUCGUUACCGACUCGUAGCGCAGCGGGAAGUAGAGUCAAUGACGAUCGGCGGUGCAGAUCCCCGCAACUAGGAUUUACAACCUCCCAACCGCGAGGAUGUAUACCCUCAUCUGCUCCUCGGACAGCCCUCCGGGAGGCGGUCGAACAGCCCCCCGGACGGUGUCGCGGAAAGCCCUUCGGGAGGACCUUCGAAACUCGGGAGGACCUUCGAAACUCGGACGGUCACACGGACAGCCCCGGACUUCCUAGGCGUGUAAGUCAUAGUAACACCCUUUGGACACUUCCUUUCUCUUUAAGUUGUUGUUUUAUUCACCUUUCAUUAUAUGACAGGCGUUCUUCUGAAUCCCUUUCCCAACAGUCAAAUGCAUAGUAAACACUUUUACUAAUACUUGCAAACAAACAUUGCUUUGUUUGUAUCUAAAAAUAAUUUUCAGUUCCAUGAAUAUCAUAUAACUAUCCCAACUUUCGAAGUUUGGGUUUCAUGGAAGCAAACAUAUUCCACUUGACCGUAACCGAAUUAUAGCUUUUGGAUCGAAGGACGAGAGUCACAUGAUCCAUAGCAUUAGCGGGAGGAUACGGAAAGCAUGCGAUAGGACAAAGUCCUUCUCGGCACUUUUGAGGACAAUCCUCAUAUUACGUUACCAAUCGUAAAGUUUUAACCAGAUAUUUAACAGCUAUUCAAUUUUAAUAGGGAAGGUGGAAUCGCGAGCCAUUAUUCUACAACUAUUUUGCAAGAAACACUUAGACAGUGUUCAUAAUUAAUUGCACUGAGAAUUAAACAUGUUAAUUCAACAGUAAGCUCCCACUCAAAUCAAUAUCUCUCAUAAUUGAUUUAGAGUGAUUCAAGAUCCAUAUUUCUAUUCGAUGCCAUUGACGGGUUCAUCACUGAUGACACGAAUUUCAAUCGGUAGGCCAACUUGCCGAUCACAUCUCUAUGUGAUUCUUGUUCAUCUUUCGAUGGGCGUGUUCCGAGCUCAGGACUCUCCUGCCUGAACGUCAAAGACAACCAAGUGAUCUUGCUGCGAGGUCUGACCUCACCCGCCUCAUUCCUCUCGAUUCGUUCAUGCUCAUGUGUACAUGGCGCACCCCGAAAAGAUACGAAUUUCAGACGGUGCUACACUUGGGUGAACACUAACUACUUUGAUAUUUUAAGUGAGAGAUCACCCUAAUAAAAAGCGACUACCGCGCAAUCAAGAAGGGUGCAUCAUAAGGGAUAAACAUCUCAGGCAAUUCAUAAUAGCAUGAUAUGGUAUAUCCCUUUCUGACGGAGAAGUCUUUCAUUUCUUCGUCUUCGGCAUUCGCGUCGGUGUUCACCUUCGCGAAGAUUGCCACCACCUUGUCGAUGCACCAGAAAAUAUUGCUAUCUCUAUAGCUAAUAAAAUAAGUGCAUUACUUAAGGUUGACACGCAGGUCAUUAAAGUGACAAUCAUAUGGCUCCAGCCAUCAUGCCGAAUCAUUACACGCAGGUCAUGUUAAUUACAUCAUAUAGUCAUCUCAUCCAUAAUCAAAUUGAAUAUGAGCAUUGCUAUACCACAUCACAUGCACAUCCUGCAAAACCAAGUUAGACGCCUCUAAUCGGUUUAUGUAAAAUUUUAUUUUACGUGGCUUCUAAGGUUUUGACUUAAACCGCAGCUACCAACGUUUCAUCAUCAAGUAUGAUUAUUCAAGUUGCUAGAUUAACAUCUCGGGGUGUAUGAAACACGAGAUAAUUAAAUCUCGAGCCCCAUACUAAACUUCGUCAUACGCAUGACCCCCGUGCAGAUCAUAUCUGCAAUGCCCUUUCAUCUGCGAAUUUCAUCUUUCUUUUGACUACGGCAGAACCCAAAGAACUGAUAGCACUUCCAUGAUCAAUCAGGAUCACGGAUUGCCAGAACUUUGUCAAAUUCCACCAUGCUGUCUCGAGAUUGAGCAAACGCAAAUUCUAGGGAAGCAACAAGAACGUCGGGUAACAGAUUUCAUCUGUCACCCGCAUAAAUAAUUUUCAGCAAUAGAUCUCAUCUACUACCUAAUUAUAUUAUGCAAUACCCAUACAUCUCCAUGCAUUCUAGAUCGAAACCUGCAUCUACGCAUAGCACGGCUCUUGAUGCCACUGUAGGGGAACGCAGCAGAAAACAAAAAUUUCCUGACCUACGCACCAGCCCAGGACCACUAUGGAGACUGCAUACAAGGUUUGAUCUUUUUCAUUACCGACUCAUACCGCAGCGGGAAGUAGAGUCGAUGACGAUCGGCGGUGCAGAUCCUCGCAGCUAGGAUUUACAACCUCCCAACCGCGAGGAUGUAUACCCUCAUCUGCUCCUCAGACAGCCCUCCGGGAGGCGGUCGAACAGCCCCCCGGACGGUGUCGCGGACAGCCCUUUGGGAGGACCUUCGAAACUCGAACGGUCACUCGGACAGCCCUUCGGGAGGACCUUCGAAACUCGGACGGUCACACGGACAGCCCUUCGGGAGGCACUCACGAACUAAGACCGAAACUACAAUCUCUCUACAGAGUUGCACACAUACGGUGUCAUCUAUCCGGCAGGGCUUCGCCGUCCAGAACUAGUUCCCACCGGAACCCAGACAGCCUUUCGGCUCUACGAAACUAUUUCGCUGGGAGGGAGAGAGAAGCCAGAUCAUGCAUGGCACUUGUAUGUGAGAAGGGAUGAUCCUUUAGGCAGCCCCUCCACCCCUAUUUAUAGGCCAAGCCCAAGGGUGGCUUCUCCAAGAAGCCAAGGGGGGAAAUACCAAAAAGGCCCUCAAGGUGGCUUCUCCAAGAAGCCAAGCAAAAAGCACUUUCACUAUUCAUGACGACAUUUUUCAGCGUCCGUUCGAACUGAAAAUAUUUAUGUGGGCUCAGAACAUUUCCAGUACCCACUAAAAAUAAUUUUCAACGCGUUCCGAAACAAUUUCGGUUUAGUGAUUUUCAUCUGCGAAAAGCAAACAAGAAUGCGUUUUCACUAUUCAUGAAGACAAUUUUUCGCGUCCACUAAAUCCGAAAAUAUUUCUGUGGGUCUUAGAAUAAUUCCAGUACCCACUAAAAUGAUUUUGGAUUCGUUCUGAAAUAAUUUCAGAUUAGUGAAUUUCAUCUGUGAAAAACAGCCAAAGCGGUACCGUCAGCUCCGAAACAUUUUCGGUUUUUAUUUCUGAAAAUUCCAAAAAGUUUCCAGAAUGAUUCUGGCAUCCUCCAAGAAUUAUCAGGCAUGUGCCAAAACCAUUUUGACUUAAUGGCAUACCCCGAAACAACUUUUUCGGUUUCACCGAAACUCAUCCGGUGACCUCUCUCUGCGGUACGAUUCCGCUGUCCGAAACUUUUCGGUAUCAGAAACUUUUUCGGUGAUUUUCUCUCAGACUCCCUGUCUAGUAUUCAGCAGAUAGAUGACCCUUAAGCGUGUGACCCUAUAGGUUCGGUGAAGUAUAGACAUGACCUGGAACCCCUUCCGAUCAAUGAUCAACAUCGGAGCCGUGGACACCCAUAUUGACCCCUAUACCCACACGAAUGAAUAUUCGAGUGAACCUCCAGUUGAGGUGAGCUAUUCCUGUUGCUUCACGAUAUAUCACAAACACCUGAGGUGAGAUUUAUUGCAUCCCCGUGGGCCAACACUUUGUCCACUAUGCAAGUUACCUCGUUACCGGUUUUGUUCUCUUUUCUCGUUUCGUGUUCCGGCAUCCCCGUGAUCAAAUCACAAAGUGUCUGGCCAGACGAUGAUGGACACCGUAACACCGAGAGGGCCCGAGUAUAUCUCUCCAUCGUCGGAGGAGCAAAUCCCAAUCUCGAGCUAUCAAGUUACUUAACAUACUUUCCCAUGAACCCGUAAGCCGCCGUAAUAGCCAUCCAGUUACGGAUGAUGUUUAACAAACCCCAAAGUUCAUGAAGAGCGCACAAAGAAACUCGAUACUCUCAUGGUCUAAGGAAUUAUGCAAACAUUAACUAUCUCUGUGUUAUAAACCAUUAACUUGUGACGAAUGUAUCUCAUAGCAUAACAUCAAUUCGGGUCGAUUCAACACAAAUGUCCUUCCUGACAUUGUGCCCUCAAAGUUGCUUGGCAUAGACAUGCCCAUGAUUGGGAAAACAUAAUCAUCAUGCAACACUUGAGCUAGUCUUAGAGGCACGACUAGGAAUACAUUUUACCGUUUAUUAUUCCACACGUGCAUAUGGGUUCUCCCCAGAGCCUUUAUGGAUAUACGGGCUCGGGAACCACAGCAGUUAUAGCAUGGAACAUAAACAUAAUUAUGAACAGGGAGAUAAUCAAUAACAUUUAUUAUUGCCUCUAGGGCAUAUCUCCUACAGACUCCCACUUGCACUAGAGACAAUAAUCUGGCUUAUGCUAAUGCACUUCACACCUGUGGCACACCGGUGUAAAUAUGCUUCGCUUGUGGUAUAGCCUGAUGUCCAACGGAUCUGACGACUUCAGUUCCGUGUGUAUCUUUGCAUGUCCUCGCGUUUUCACGUUUUCACAAAAUUCAUAUUUUGUGUGGACUUGGCUUUGUAUGUAUGUGAAUCACAAGUCGAACCUGGAUUCCUCAGACUGAGUUAUGGAGCAACUACCUGCAGUAGUGUCCCAUUGUCAAAAGCCAUCUUGGAACUAUACUAAGUUCAUGAAUGAACUAUAUGAUUCAACAUCUUCUUUGUCGCUUCUAAAGCGUCAACAUACUUAGCCCUUGUUAUGGAAUUCGCCACAGUAACCAGUUUGAACAAAUUCCAACUAACUGUGCCACCACAUUGUGUGUUACACAAAACCCUUAAUUUAAAUCGAAAAUCGCAUGGAGAAAAGAUGAAGACUGUGUCGAUGUAACAUUUUACAAUGAACUCUUCAUGAUCUCUGCUUGCGAGAAAACCAUGUCAUCAGUACUUACUCUAGUACUCUGUGACAUCUUUCACUGUUGUCCCAUGAUCAGUAAUUUGAUCACUUUCGUAUCCAUACUCGCAACACCUUGGGAGUAUCGGACAUAUCUGGUUGUUUUACAUACCAUGGAAUACAUGAUUAAUCCAAACACAAAAGUGUGUGGAAUCUGCAUCAUGUAUUUUACUCAUCAGUGUUUUGGGACACCGAGUCUUGCAAAAACUCUUUCCAUGUGACUUUGGCAAGAAUCACUCCUUGGCGUUUUAAAUGCUAAAAGGUUUUAGCAUCUUGUCAAUAUGUAUUCAUUGCUUAGCCCCAUUAGGUAAAUCUAUCUCCAUAGAUCAUCAUGCCUAAUAUUGAGGCUAUUUAGCCUAAGCACUUCAUCGAAAAACUAUUUUCAAAUGAAGUCCUAAUUCGUGUCAAGAAAUUUAUUUCCAAUUACCAAUGUGCCAAGCACAUAAGGUUUUUAGAAAUAUUAUUACGCUCCCACUUACUUUCUUGAAUUACAAGCAUCUUUGUUACCCAUUGAUGAAAUCAAAACCCUUUUGACCAUUUCAUCAAAACACGAAGAUUCCAACUCCAUUUUGCUCUCUUCUGUCCAUUGCUGGAACUCUGAAGUUUGCAUACCUACUAGCAUCCUUUGGAUCGACAAAUUACUUUGGACUGUAUCAUAUACAAGUCCUAGCUUUCAUUUCCAUCAGAUGGAAAUCCUUUUAUCAUCCAUGUUUCAUAUCUCAUGAUUGAAAUAUGUAUUAAUUGCUAGUUCAACCCGAACCGACUUUAAGCAUCGCUACGAUGAAAACAACCUCAUCGUAGUCAACUCUUGAACUUGUUAUUUCAACAAGUCGAGCUUUAUGGAUAAAACAUUUUUAUCCGUAUCAGUUUUAAGUUCCAUAAAUAUUCGUUAGACUCUAAGUCUUCCGAAAGGUGUAUCAAGGUUUAAAUCUUGAAUCACUUAUAUGGAAACUAACUCGGGUUGUAUUGGCAUUUAGCCAAUUCCGGAGUCAGGGCCCAUCAACGCUUCCUUGUGUAUCGUAGGUAUAAUGUUGGCUAACAACAAUAUCUCGUUUGCGCACCUGAGAGGUUUGCACGAGCCUUGCCUACGUGGUUCAGCUGCAAGUUCGACCGAAGUUCAUACAUUUUAUUGUAGAGACUUCCGUAUCAGUCGCAGUAGGAAACUCUGGAAUUACUUCCAAGGUCUCAUUCCUUUGAUCUGAUGACGUAAAUACUGUUUAUCUCGUCGAGUUGCACUAUUCUCCCACUCACCUUUUUGAAAGAACCAUUCUCUUUAAAAGCACACCGUUUCGUGGCAAAACUAUUUGCCUCAGUAUAGUGAGGGAGGAAUACCCAACAUUUUGGUAUAACCUACAAAGUAGCACUUGUCUGAUUUGGAAUAGGUUUGUAACCUUUUACACAAGCCCCAUAUUCCAAAUGUUAAGAAAAGAUAUAACAUGGUUGGGCGUACCAUACCAUGGCUUCAUUUCAACAGACCCGAUGUAGCUCUUUUCAGUGUAAAAGCCGCAGUCUCUAAAGCAUCACUUUAAAAGGGAUAAUGGCAAAUUUAUUUAUGUCAUCUAUGACCUUACCAUGUCAUAAAUGGUUUGAUUACAUCUCCACAGACUUUCCACUUGCAGUGGUGUUCCGAGAGGUGCAAGUUAUGAAACCCCUUUCACAACUCAUCAGACAUUCGCUAAACAUGUAACUCAAAUAUUCCUUUGUGCAAUCAAAUUGCAGAAACAUAAUUUUCUUGUUACAAUAACUUCUACUUCAUUUUUGAGAACCUUUCGAAUGAUUUUAAAAGAUCCAGACUUACGUCUCAUCAAGUAAAUAUCCAUAUACCUACUUGAGUCAUUUCUGAAGAUAAAUAAAUCCACCACUAACAACACUUAUCGGACUACACACAUCAAAUGUAUGAUCACUAAUAAGUUUGUUGUUCGUUCCUUAUGGCCUGUGAACGGUAUUUUAGUCACUUCACUUUUCGGAGGAAAGUUGCAAGUGUCAGAUGAUUCAAAAUCAAAAAGACUUCAAAAUCCAUCAUAAUGGAAUUUUCCAUGCGGGUUUCUCCAAUGUGACCAAAUGUAGUGCCACACUUGUGUGGUAUUCUUUUAGUCUUGCGACAUUUAGCGUCAGUGUUAUGGAUGUAUCAUAUUACCAUCAAUAUUCAUAACAUACAUGCCAUCUUGGAUGGAAGCAUGGCCCUUCAUGUUAUUCAUAAUACUAAACAACAAUUGUUGUUUUUAUGAACAACUCUUUUGCAACAAACAUUGUGCAAUGGGCUAGAGUGUAUGAAACUCUAAAAUGAAUUAUGAAAGUAAACCCAGAGGUAUUGUAUUAUUAUCAAUAUUCAUAACAUACAUCUCAUUCAUAAUGAAAGUAUGGCCCUUGUGUUAUUCAUAACAUCGAACAUAAAAAGUUCUCUUAUGAACAACCUUCUUGCAAGAUACCUUAUGCAAUGGGAUAGAGUUUGUAAAACUCUAAAUGAAUUAUGAAAAUAAAUACAGACGGCAAUACACCGAUGGAAGGUAUAGUAACAUUUACUAUGUUCCCUGUGUAUACCUUAACCUCAUUUCUAGCUAGUCUUUCAGGCCAUAGUAGUUCUUACAUCGAGUUGCAACAGAAUGCAAUCGAGCGGGCAAUUUUGUGAUGAACUCACAAUACCCAAGAAUUAGUGAUUAACAUGUUUAACCAUAAUUCGCAAGAACUAUAUCUUUGACCAGCCUUCUAUACAUCAAAAACGUGUAUGACAUUCAUACAUGAGCUGGAUAUUCCAGUCUUCUUUCCUUUUGCCUUUAUACUUCUAACAGUUUAACUUUUAGUAUUUCUCCUACUCUCAGAAGAAGCACCCAACUUAAGAGUGGCAUUAGCCCCGGACUUCCUAGGCGUGUAAGUCAUACUAACACCCUUUGGACACUUCCUUUCUCUUUAAGUUGUUGUUUUAUUCACCUUUCAUUAUAUGACAGGCGUUCUUCUGAAUCCCUUUCCCAACAGUCAAAUGCAUAGUAAACACUUUUACUAAUACUUGCAAACAAACAUUGCUUUGUUUGUAUCUGAAAAUAAUUUUCAGUUCCAUGAAUAUCAUAUAACUAUCCCAACUUUCGAAGUUUGGGUUUCAUGGAAGCAAACAUAUUCCACUUGACCGUAACAGAAUUCUAGCUUUUGGAUCGAAGGACGAGAGUCACAUGAUCCAUAGCAUUAGCGGGAGGAUACGGAAAGCAUGCGAUAGGACAAAGUCCUUCUCGGCACUUUUGAGGACAAUCCUCAUAUUACGUUACCAAUCGUAAAGUUUUAACCAGAUAUUUAACAGCUAUUCAAUUUUAAUAGGGAAGGUGGAAUCGCGAGCCAUUAUUCUACAACUAUUUUGCAAGAAACACUUAGACAGUGUUCAUAAUUAAUUGCACUGAGAAUUAAACAUGUUAAUUCAACAGUAAGCUCCCACUCAAAUCAAUAUCUCUCAUAAUUGAUUUAGAGUGAUUCAAGAUCCAUAUUUCUAUUCGAUGCCAUUGACGGGUUCAUCACUGAUGACACGAAUUUCAAUCGGUAGGCCAACUUGCCGAUCACAUCUCUAUGUGAUUCUUGUUCAUCUUUCGAUGGGCGUGUUCCGAGCUCAGGACUCUCCUUCCUGAACGUCAAAGACAACCAAGUGAUCUUGCUGCAAGGUCUGACCUCACCCGCCUCAUUCCUCUCGAUUCGUUCGUGCUCAUGUGUACAUGGCGCACCCCAAAAAGAUACGAAUUUCAGACGGUGCUACACUUGGGUGAACACUAACUACUUUGAUAUUUUAAGUGAGAGAUCACCCUAAUAAAAAGCGACUACCGCGCAAUCAAGAAGGGUGCAUCAUAAGGGAUAAACAUCUCAGGCAAUUCAUAAUAGCAUGAUAUGGUAUAUCCCUUUCUGACGGAGAAGUCUUUCAUUUCUUCGUCUUCGGCAUUCGCGUCGGUGUUCACCUUCGCGAAGAUUGCCACCACCUUGUCGAUGCACCAGAUAAUAUUGCUAUCUCUAUAGCUAAUAAAAUAAGUGCAUUACUUAAGGUUGACACGCAGGUCAUUAAAGUGACAAUCAUAUGGCUCCAGCCAUCAUGCCGAAUCAUGACACGCAGGUCAUGUUAAUUACAUCAUAUAGUCAUCUCAUACAUAAUCAAAUUGAAUAUGAGCAUUGCUAUACCACAUCACACGCACAUCCUAAAAAAUCAAGUUAGACGCCUCUAAUCGGUUUAUGUAAAAUUUUAUUUUACGUGGCUUCUAAGGUUUUGACUUAAACCGCAGCUACCAACGUUUUAUCAUCAAGUAUGAUUAUUCAAGUUGCUAGAUUAACAUCUCGGGGCAUAUGAAACACGAGAUAAUUAAAUCUCGAGCCCCAUACUAAACUUCGUCAUACGCAUGACCCCCCGUGCAGAUCAUAUCUGCAAUGCCCUUUCAUCUGCGAAUUUCAUCUUUCUUUUGACUACGGCAGAACCCAAAGAACUGAUAGCACUUCCAUGAUCAAUCAGGAUCACGGAUUGCCAGAACUUUGUCAAAUUCCACCAUGCUGUCUCGAGAUUGAGCAAACGCAAAUUCUAGGGAAGCAACAAGAACGUCGGGUAACAGAUUUCAUCUGUCACCCGCAUAAAUAAUUUUCAGCAAUAGAUCUCAUCUACUACCUAAUUAUAUUAUGCAAUACCCAUACAUCUCCAUGCAUUCUAGAUCGAAACCUGCAUCUACGCAUAGCACGGCUCUUGAUGCCACUGUAGGGGAACGCAGCAGAAAACAAAAAUUUCCUGACCUACGCACCAGCCCAGGACCACUAUGGAGACUGCAUACAAGGUUUGAUCUUUUUCGUUACCGACUCGUAGCGCAGCAGGAAGUAGAGUCGAUGACGAUCGGCGGUGCAGAUCCCCGCAACUAGGAUUUACAACCUCCCAACCGCGAGGAUGUAUACCCUCAUCUGCUCCUCAGACAGCCCUCCGGGAGGCGGUCGAACAGCCCCCUGGACGGUGUCGCGGACAGCCCUUCGGGAGGACCUUCGAAACUCGAACGGUCACUCGGACAGCCCUUCGGGAGGACCUUCGAAACUCGGACGGUCACACGGACAGCCCUUCGGGAGGCACUCACGAACUAAGACCGAAACUACGAUCUCUCUACAGAGUUGCACACAUACGGUGUCAUUUAUCCGGCAGGGCUUCGCCGUCCAGAACUAGUUCCCACCGGAACCCAGACAGCCUUUCGGCUCUACGAAACUAUUUCGCCGGGAGGGAGAGAGAAGCCAGAUCAUGCAUGGCACUUGUAUGUGAGAAGGGAUGAUCCUUUAGGCAGCCCCCUCCACCCCUAUUUAUAGGCCAAGCCCAAGGGUGGCUUCUCCAAGAAGCCAAGGGGGGAAAUACCAAAAAGGCCCUCAAGGUGGCUUCUCCAAGAAGCCAAGCAAAAAGCACUUUCACUAUUCAUGACGACAUUUUUCAGCGUCCGUUCGAACUGAAAAUAUUUAUGUGGGCUCAGAACAUUUCCAGUACCCACUAAAAAUAAUUUUAAACGCGUUCCGAAACAGUUUCGGUUUAGUGAUUUUCAUCUGCGAAAAGCAAACAAGAAUGCGUUUUCACUAUUCAUGAAGACAAUUUUUCGCGUCCACUAAAUCCGAAAAUAUUUCUGUGGGUCUUAGAAUAAUUCCAGUACCCACUAAAAUGAUUUUGGAUUCGUUCUGAAACAAUUUCAGAUUAGUGAAUUUCAUCUGCGAAAAACAGCCAAAGCUGUACCGGCAGCUCCGAAACAUUUUCGGUUUUUAUUUCUGAAAAUUCCAAAAAGUUUCCAAAAUGAUUCUGGCACCCUCCAAGAAUUAUCAGGCAUGUGCCGAAACCAUUUUGACUUAAUGGCAUACCCCGAAACAACUUUUUCGGUUCCACCGAAACUCAUCCGGUGACCUCUCUCUGCGGUACGAUUCCGCUGUCCGAAACUUUUUCGGUGAUUUUCUCUCAGACUCCCUGUCUAGUAUUCAGCAGAUAGAUGACCCUUAAGCGUGUGACCCUAUAGGUUCGGUGAAGUAUAGACAUGACCUGGAACCCCUUCCGAUCAAUGAUCAACAUUGGAGCCGUGGACACCCAUAUUGACCCCUAUACCCACACGAAUGAAUAUUCGAGUGAACCUCCAGUUGAGGUGAGCUAUUCCUGUUGCUUCACGAUAUAUCACAAACACCUGAGGUGAGAUUUAUUGCAUCCCCGUGGGCUAACACUUUGUCCACUAUGCAAGUUACCUCGUUACCGGUUUUGUUCUCUUUUCUCGUUUCGUGUUCCGGCAUCCCCGUGAUCAAAUCACAAAGUGUCUGGCGAGACGAUGAUGGACACCGUAACACCGAGAGGGCCCGAGUAUAUCUCUCCAUCGUCGGAGGAGCAAAUCCCAAUCUCGAGCUAUCAAGUUACUUAACAUACUUUCCCAUGAACCCGUAAGCCGCCGUAAUAGCCAUCCAGUUACGGAUGACGUUUAACAAACCCCAAAGUUCAUGAAGCAAGCAUGAAGAAACUCGAUACUCUCAUGGUCUAAGGAAUUAUGCAAACAUUAACUAUCUCUGUGUUAUAAACCAUUAACUUGUGACGAAUGUAUCUCAUAGCAUAACAUCAAUUCGGGUCAAUUCAACACAAAUGUCCUUCCUGACAUUGUGCCCUCAAAGUUGCUUGGCAUAGACAUGCCCAUGAUUGGGAAAACAUAAUCAUCAUGCAACACUUGAGCUAGUCUUAGAGGCACGACUAGGAAUACAUUUUACCGUUUAUUAUUCCACACGUGCAUAUGGGUUCUCCCCAGAGCCUGUAUGGAUAUACGGGCUCGGGAACCACAGCAGUUAUAGCAUGGAACAUAAACACAAUUAUGAACAGGGAGAUAAUCAAUAACAUUUAUUAUUGCCUCUAGGGCAUAUCUCCUACACAGAUCUUGGCCGGGGACGUGCCACCGGCCGGCUGAAAGUGCGUUAUAUCGACUAGAAGGGGGUGAAUAGGUGAUUUUUAUAAAUUCUUCACUGAGGAAUUUGCGGGUGAGGAAAUUCCUUAGCGAAGAACUACUUGCAGCGGAAUAAGUACUCAAAAGUAAACAUAGCAGAACACAAGCAUGGUCAUCAUGAUGAAAUAAAGACAAGCACAGAGUAUAGAAAGCAUAAACACAGGAUGAAGACAAACAAACUGAAGAAAUUGAACUGAUGAAAUUGAGAAAGUCUUCAGUCAAAGUCUUCAAACAGAUAUGAACAAGCACACAACAACUGUAAUGAGGAAAUGAAAGAGUUGAGGAAAUAGAACCAGUAAGCUUGGUGAAGACAAUGAUUUGGUAGACCAGUUCCGACUGCUGUCUCAGUUGUACAUCUGGUUGGAGCGGCUAGGUAUUUAAACCUGAGGACACAUAGUCCCGGACACACAGUCCUCAGCGUAUUCUCCUUGAGCUAAGGUCACACAGACCUCGCCCAAUCACUCGUGGUAAGUCUUCAGGUGACUUCCGAACCUUCACAAACUCGGUCACUUGGCGAUCCACAAUUCCUCUUGGAUGCUCUAGACCAUGACGCCUAACCGUCUGGAAGAAGCACAGUCUUCAAAGGUAACAAGCGUCGGAUCCACGCAGGAUCAAUCUCUUCAGUGAUGCUCAAUCACUUUGGGUUUGUAGGUGUUUGGGUUUGGGUUCUCCUCACUCGAUGAUUUUCGUUCAAAGUCCUCGGAGGAUGGGAUGCUCUCAAAUGACAAGUGUCAGUUUCUCUCGAAGCAGCCAACCAGCUAGUGGUUGUAGGGGGCGGCUAUUUAUAGCCUAGGGAGCAGCCCGACAUGAUAAGACAUAAAUGCCCUUCAAUGAUAUGACCGUUAGGUGGGUAGAUAUUUUGGGACAGCUGGCGCAUAGCACAACAAUGGUCGGAAAUUUAGGUUCAAAUUCCUCAGGGCUAUCAUGUUUCUCACUAUGUAGGCAAUCCGCACUGGCAAAUUCCUAACUCCUCAGUCAGAACAAAUUCCUCAGAGACCAGAAGAACUUCGUCUCUUUCACUGAAGAAUAUGACUGAACUGUAUGAGAUUUCCAAUGGCUUCACUCGAAGGGAUUGGUAGGUGUAGGAUUUUGAGUUGAGCAUCACAUGGAAAUUUUUCCUUAGUAUUUCCUCGACCCCCUUUAACAGUACGGUGUUUCCUAUGACUCAAGAAAGAGAAAAUGAAACUACGAAAACAAAAGUCUUCACGCUUCAUGUUCUUUGAAUGAAUACCAAGUCUUCAAGGUCACACCAAUUUCUUCACUUUCAAAGUCUUCAGAAAGUCUUCAGAAGUCCAAAGUCUUCAGUCGAAGAACUUCAUUUUUAGGGGUCGACUUUCUCUGUAAAUAUCAAACUCCUCAUAGACUUAUAGACCUGUGUACACUCAUAAACACAUUAUUCCCUUAACCUAUAAGUCUUCAAUACACCAAAAUCACUAAGGGGCACUAGAUGCACUUACACCGGCCAGCACCACCGGACUGCCCCGCCGCCAAGAGGCGGCACCACCACGGCGAGCGCCACCGGCCUCCACGCCAGGACGUCGGACCGCCACCGGCCGUGGCGCACCGCCGCCGGCCAUCACUGCCCGAGCAGGGGAGGGCCGCGCGCGGGUGCCCUCUCGAUGCUUAAGAGGAGGGUGAUAAUUAAACAUCAAUUAGUUAACACUAUUCGACGAGAUGAUUGGAAGUUCCGGCAAUCCCACGUUUAAUGUGGCUUUGAAUAAAUAUAGCAAAUCGAGCAAUAAUUCCGAAUCCAAUUACCAGAGGGUCGCCGAUUGCAUUGGCGCGAGGAGAAGAGGAGAGAGCCCAAGAAUCGCAGCGGCGACAUCGUCUUUCUACACAAUCAGAUAUCUUUUUCGAACACAGUACAGACGCAUACGCUGCACAUACACUCAUUCCUAUGAACGCAUGCACGCACACCCUAUGUCUAUGACCACCUCCGAGAGACUGAGACGACACAUCAUCUUGAACGCACAUCGCCGGAAGAUCUGAAAUAAAUCCAGCAGCGGGUCCACUGUCCUCCUGACCAUUCAACCACAGAUCGGUUCACACACAAUCAGAUAUCUAUCUAGGGCUUGUUCAUUCGUUCAUCUGUGUGUUUCAUCAGCGAUUCUAUGCACUUUCUUUCACCAAGUAUAGACACGGGGCCAACAGUUAAGAAACACCCUCUCCAUGGCAAACGCAAUAUAUGUGCUUGCCCACAACACACACACAAAGUUCCUUUGUAGCUCAGGCUACAUGGAACCUCUUAUCCUCAACCCUCCAGCCUUGCUUUGAGAUCCGUACUCUCCAACUAACUUACAACAAGAAGAUUUCUCUUUUUUGUUUCUCUAAAAUGAAACAACAUAUGAACUUCAAACUUUGCAGAUCGAACAAAUAUUAGAACAUCAAUGUGUGAAAAAACUUUCAGAUUUUUUGGUCCGAUAUAAAUAUAGAAAAUGAGAUUUUGUUUGACUAAAAAUAUUAUUUUAAGUAUUUAAAAUGCAUGAAAAAAUUUGAAAGUUUUUUCCCAGAUUGUAGUUAGAAUGUAUUGUUGUUUUGCAAAAUUUGAAGUUUAUAUGUUGUGUCAUUUGAGAGCAACAAAAAAGACAAAUGCGUCUGCACAGAUCGCGAUGCAUAAAUGGAUGGCAAAGAUAAGGGGUAACUUGUACGUAGGCACAAAUUGGGCCAACAGGUCUCUUCUAAAAAAAAGUAACUUGUACGUAGGCACAAAUUACACGCACACAGAUCUGGAGUGUUUCAUGGUGAUUUCUAUGGGUUUUUUUGUUUGCGGGGAUGGCGAUUUCUACGUUGAUGCCGAUUAAAUGCAUUGCCGGUUGCAUUGGUCACAUUAGCGUGUACGCUAUCACAUGUACUCCCUCCAUUCCUUUAUACAAGGCCACAAACUCAUACUACAGGUACCAAGAUAAAAUUUAAUGACUACUUUGCAAGUCAACUUUUCUUUUCGUUAACUGGAAUCAUUAAUACGCCACAAGUAUGCAACGAAUGAAUGGAAAGGAAGUAGCUAAGUGUCAUUAUGACUACAUGCAUGUAAGUAUUAAAAAGUUGUUAGUACGAAAAAACAUCAUUAAUUUUCGACUCGGUUACUGUUGGUGGCCUUGUAUUGAUGUGAAAUGUAUUUUUGAUAAUGGCCUUGUAUAAAGGAAUGGAGGGAGUACACAAAUCUAGAGUGCUUUAUCAGUCAUUGCUUGUACACUAAUCCUGAUUUACUACCUGCCAAAUGUAUUGCCUACGUACUGUUGUACUAACAUGUCCACUAUCAUUAUGCACAGAUCUAGAGUUCUCCAUCGGUUUUGGUUUGUACAAUAAUGCCGAUUAGAUACAUGUCACUGGCAUUGCUUAUUAAUUUGCACGCUAACACCACGUGAACCCAUACACACAGAUCUAAAGUGCUCCACAUACGGUGGUGUGUACGUUAAUGCUGAUCAAAUACAUGCCAGCUAUUUUAAUUUUUUGCUUGUGCGCUAGCACUACAUACACGUGUACACAGACCUAGAGUGUUCCACGGGCAGUGGUUUGUACGCUAAUGCUAAUCCAAUAUACCUGCCGAGUAGACAUACAGAACUAUAAAUUAAUACUGCUCGAGGUAAGCCCACACCACUACAGACUACUUCGAGAGAUAUAGAUCGACGAAUUAACCUUAAGAGACUAGCUAGCCAUGUCCUCCACAAAGAGAUGCAUUGCUACUAUCAUGAUCAUGGUGCUAGUGUUUUCUCUUCAAGCCGCAGUUGACGGCCGCCGCCUCUUCUCCAACUCCAGGAUCAGGAUUUUUCCUUCUUGUCCAGUCGGCCAAUUAAUGAAAUGUCGGACGACUUUUCCACCAACUGGUUGUCGGUGUGUGCCGGUAAGUAAUCUUCGACCUGUGGACACCCACAUCCUACCCCAACACACCGUUGUCAACGGCGUCAUCUGGCUUCCAAGCUAUGUCGAAGAUCAUCAAGUGAUAGCAGGCGUGAGUCAGGAGGACAACAAGCUGAGCUACCGGCCGGUGUGAGCAAGACUGUCCACCAGAGAUAAUUCAGUGAAGCGAGGUUGAAUGUUGUUGCAUGUGAUGAGUAGCUAGCUCGUGCGUAUACUCGCAUAUAUAGCAAUAAAGGGCCAUGCAACAUACUACCUCCAUAAACAAGGAAAGUGUGCAUCUGAUCUUAGUUCACGUGCAUAUCAUGCCUGUUGUUCGAGUCGACCUGGGUAAUGAUGCUACCGUAGCAAUGAAUAAGGGCAUCUCCAAAGCGGACCCUUAAACCUCCCUUAUACUUUCGGACCAUAGCGUCCGGAGCACUUUUGUCAUCCAACGGAG